rnacentral:lncRNA from 1 species
UAGACAAAGGGCUACAACACUCAUGAGUGCUCAUAAGUUCUGAGUAUUGGAUUCAACCCGUGCUCAUUGGAAUCACUUCAUGGAUUUUAUCACGAGUGAUAAUGAGACGAUAAUAUCUUAUAUUCUUCAAACCUAGAGAUAUGAGUUAUUACUAUGAGUUGAUAGUACAUUGAUUGCAUGAAAACGCAUUCGGUAACUCGGUGCUAUAAGACGUGUCUUUGUGUAUGAUUCAACAAGUAGUAGAACAAGCCAUAUGAGUCGAAGUUUAUCCAUUCCUUUUACCUUCGGGAUAAAAGCGAUAUCUGUGGGCCCCUCGAUGAUUUGAUGAUGACAAAUGGAAGUGCUCGGCCGGGCCAGGACUGAUUUGAUUUGUUCAAUUAGUCAGUCGUCAUAAAUCGGAAAUCGGGAAACAACAAAUGGACAGAGAGAAUGAUUAUAAUCCAUGUCUCAGUCCAUAUGAUAUCUAGAAUGGAGGAAUAUAUGAUCCCUUAUCUAAUGGACAAGUCAUUGACAAAGGUCAGAGUUCAUCUACAAGGUCAGAGUUCGACAGAAGCUUUUGAGAGCUACGAUUGCCAGUUGGUUCCUGAAGUCAUACGCAAUAAUAGUUUUAGACUUAUCCAAGUGGGAGACUGUUGGAUUAAUGUCUAAGUCCAUAACUAUAAUUGGUAAGACUUGACCCGACCCGACAUGGUCCAUUUGGGUUGCAUCGCAUCUUGCAUUUGGAUAGACUAUAAUGAGAGGAAUAAAACACUUAUGGUUAUUAAUAUAUUAUAAGUUCUAGUAUAUUAAUAAUAAGAAUAAUAAGAUUAUUUAAUUAGUAUUGAUCAAGAAUUAAUCUAGGAUUAAUUAAGUGAUCAAAAGAAGACUAAUUAAAUAUAUGGGUUGAUUGUGUAAAUCAUCCAUACUUGUAUAGUGGGCUAAUGCUCCAUGGAUAAUCAAGUUGGGCUAAAACCCNUUCAUGGAUGCUCCAUGGAGGUUACAUAACCCAUGGGUCAUGGAAAUGAAGGGUCAUGACAAUUAGGUAUUACAUGGUGUAACCCUCAUUGUAACACGCUAUAUAAGCAUCAUAUUAUUCACCAAUAUCCGUCACUAGAAGUAUAAUAGAAGGGCUAGCGGAUUUUCAUGAAGUGUAGAAUUCUCUCAAGUUAUUCCAAGUGUAUUUGGUGUUGUGUGAACCAUUUGAGGUGUCACACUGGAGGCACAAGGCACUCAAGCUUCAUGAAGACUUUCUACAUCAAAGAGGUAUGUAUUCUAUCUUGUUAUAUUUAUUGUUUUGUAUGCUAGAUUAGGAGAAUACCUUGGAAAGUUCUUAUUUGCAUGUAUAAUAGAGAAAACAUAGAUCCAAGGUAUUUAGGGUUGCAUGUACACUUAGGAGUGUUAGAAUGCUCAAAUCCCAACACGUACCAGGCUACGUCCAGCUUCAUGUAGGGCCACCAAUAAUCGGCUCGAAGAUCUCUAUACAUCUUCGUCGCCCUGGAUGGAUGGAGAAGCAAUACUUGUGGUACACCUCCCCAAUACAGCACCCAGACUCUCCGAUGACGGGUCAACAAUCCUCGACAGUCAUAAUCGAAAGAAGUUACUCGGCCUACAAUCCUCUCACACUUUUGCCUCUCCUCCAUCAGGCCCUUGACCUGUGCCUCUCUAAUCUGCUCCGACAAUGGAGUAAUCACCUUCAUCCUCAGGCAUAUAUCAUUGAUCGGAUCUGCCAUCACCUUGCAGCUCAGGGCGUCGGCCUUCAACGUUGGCCUUGGCCGGAUGAUAAAGGAUCUCACAAUCGUAAUCCUUUACCACGUCCAACCAUCGAUGCUGCCUCAUGUUCAGAUUCGGCUGAUCCAUGAGGUACCUCAAACUCUUGUGAUCCGUGCAAAUGGUGCAACGGAGCCCAUGGAGGUAAUGCCUCCAAAUCUCGAGGGCGAACACCACUGCCUCCAGGUCUAAAUCGUGUGUCGGAUAGUUACCCUCGUGAGGCUUCAACUGUCUAGAGGCAUAAUCUAUCACAUGCCCUCGUUGCAUCAACACUGCUACGAAGGGUCUCAAAGUCAUCCACUCCCUAUGCCAGGGUAAGAAUCGGUGCCUCACACAAUCGCUGUCGGAGGGUCUCAAAUGAUGCCUGCUGCUCAGGCCCCCAAGAAAACACCACCAACUUCCUAGUCAGUCGGAUGAGUGGAACUGCUAUCUUAGAGAACUCCUGGAUAAAUCUACUGUAGUACCCUACCAAACCUAGGAAGCUCCGAAUCUCAGAUGGAGACCUCCGGACCUCCCACUGCAUCACAGCCCCUAUCUUGGCCGGAUCAACUAGUAUACCCUUUUGGUUGAUGAGCUAUCCAAGGAACUGCACCUCGCGCAACCAGAACUCGCACUUGGAGAACUUCACAAAAAGUCUCUCCCUCCUUAAAGUCUCUAGCACCUCCCUCAGGUGCUCCUCAUGCUGCUCCUGAGUCUUGGAAUAAAGCAAGAUGUCGUCGAUGAACACUAUCAUAGAACGACCCAGCAUCGGUCUGCAUACACGGUUCAUGAGAUCCAUGAACGCUGCUGGAGCAUUGGUGAGCCCAAACGGCAUCUCCACAAAUUCCUAAUGACCAUAGCGGGUCCUAAAAUCGGUCUUCUGAACAUCCUCAUCAGUGACCCACAUCUGAUGAUAACCGGAGCGCAGAUUAAUCUUGGAAAACGAAGAUGCCCCCUGAAGCUGAUCAAACAAGUCAUCUAUACUCGAGAGUGGGUAACGGUUGUUCAUCGUUACCUUGUUCAACUCCCGGUAAUCUAUACACAUACGGUGCGACCCAUCCUUCUUCUUCACAAACAGGAUCGGGGCUCCCCAUGGUGAAUUGCUUGGUCUGAUAAAACCCUUGUCCAACAGCUCCUGCAUCUACGUAGACAACUCCUGCAUCUCUGGAGGAGCCAAUCGAUAUGGUUCCUUGGUUAUCGGUGCAGCACCAGGGACCAGGUCAAUCCUGAACUUGACCUCUCUCUUAGGAGGUAUUCCAGGAAAAUCCCUUAAAAAUACAACCGGGUACUCACGUAGCACCGGUACAUCGUCAAUAGUCGUCUUUCCCUUUUCCCGGGCAUCUAAUACAUAGGCGACGUAGCCCGCGCAACCCUGCUGGAAGUAGCAUCGUGCUCUCGCUGCUGAACAAAGAAUCGGUCUGCGUUGUGGCCUCUCGCCCUAAAUCACUAAUCCUCCCCCACUAGGGGUGCGUAGCCUCACUAACUGUAGCUCACAAUCAAUCACUGCCCCAUUGGGGCUCAGCCAAUCCGUACCCACUGUAACCAUAUUCCCUCACAGGGGAAUGGGAACCAAGUCCACUAAAAACUGCUCAUCAAAUAAUUGCAGCGAACAUGCCCUAUGUACUCUCGUGGCCCUAACAGUCCUGUCAUCAGCUAUCUAAACCUCAAGUGGACAAUCCAGCUCCCACGGAGCUCUGCUAAACCUCUUGCUAAGUGCAAGUGAGACAAACGAUCGGGUAGCCCCUGAGUCGAACAAUAUUGUAGCUGAAAUGUCGUUCACUAAGAACAACCCUAUAAAAAAAAUAUAUAAUCAUAAGAAACAAUCAUAAUUAAUAAAGAUAUGAAGGGAAGAUGCAUACCCGUCAACACAUCAGGAGUCGCUCGCACCUCCUCUGCUGUCAGCUGAAAAGUUCUACUCUUCGCUACUGGCACCUCACUUCGGCCCUGACGGCCGUCUGUAAUCCUCAAAGUUGCAGGGGCAGGUGCCGCCACCUUCCCUGCUGCUGCCAAACUCUGACACUGGGACUUUCUAUGUUCCCUCUGAUUGCAAUGGAAGCAAAUCAGAUCAGAUGCUGCGAUAACGGUGGGAGUAGUUGUACAAUCUCUGCUCAUAUGCCCGGUCCAGCCGCACUUGUAGCAACCGGGACUCCCUGCCUUGCACGCCCCGUCGUGUAAUCCCCCACACUUGCUACACCGACUGUGGCUCUACUGUCCUCUCGAUCUGUGAUCCGAUACCAUGGGCUUUUUUCCCGAACUCCCUCUUCCAGACAACGCUUCUGGAUUCCUCUUCUUCUCCAUCUCCAAAUCUAUCUCUCUCUCACAAGUCCUCGCAAUCAUAUCAUCCAGCGUUUUACAGUUGGACCGGCUCACAAACUGGCGGAUAUCACUCUGCAACAUCUCAUGAUAAUGGGGCUUCUUCCUUUUCUCAUCAGCUAGGUACUGAGAAACGAGAAGAGCCCUCUCCCUGAACUUGGCGGUAAUUUCCGCCACUGACUCUGUAGUGUGGGUGAGAUCCUGAAAUUCCCUAGCUAACUAUUGCACCUCAAUCACCGGUGCAAACUCGGCUCUGAAAUGGGUAGUCAAAUCAGCCCAAGACAUCGCAUCAAGUGUUGCGUCAUCCCCGAUGACAUGCCCGAUCUCCUCCCACCAAUCUCGUGCGAUGUCCUUCAGAAGACAGGAUGCUAGUCUGACCUUGUCCCCCUCGGGACAUCUUUGGGUGCGGAAGGUGUUGGCGACAUCUGCCAACCACCUAGUACUCGUUAUGGGGUCCCGCGCCCCAUGAUAUUCAGGAGCUCCACAUGCUCUGAACUCCCUGAAAGUCAGUGUGCGCGACCCCAUCAUGGUCGCCACCUCUGCACGAAAGGUGCUUAACCUCUCAUCCAUCAGCUCCAAAAUACCCUCCUUGAUUGAAUCAAAGAUCACAGGAGUCUGCUCAAGUAUGAUGCGAUUAAUCUCGAGCGAUCACUAUUACUACAAGUUUCCUGGUCUAGCCUUGGCCUUCCUUGAUUCAAGUACGAAUUCUCUGCUUUCAGUAGUACGGGCCAUACUACCUUCCACAUUUAUCCGUACUUUCCUCAAGAACUGUCUCGACUCCACCAAGUCACUAUUACUGCUACUGAUCUCUACUACUCUUAAUCUUGAUUUGCCCUAGGGAAAUCUCUGACUCAACCAAAACCAUUCCUCAGCUACUGAAGGCCUCCUUGUAAUUCCAAUUAGUCAUCAGCUGAAUACCACCACAUGUGACGGGGCUCAGAUAAUCCUUCGAGUAAAAGAAUCAUUCCUAUAAUGGUUAGACUCAAACGAGAGCUACACAGUAGGGAGAAAUCCAACACUCUGAGAUUAUUCAACCCUAAUCACUUGUGAUGUGACGUAUUCACCUAAUGGCUAACUCCCAUCCCUCAGAGUCCCUCGAAGCACAAAGCAAGCAACAUUCAGACACAGGAACCAACUCAAGCAUAUCUAUCCUCAUAACGAGAAACUGUACUUGCAUACAAUGCCAAGCUCAUACUAUCAGGCAUAACCCUAACAGACUAUCCUACUACUGUCUACUCAAUACAAAACAGAAGCACAUAGAGUAGGAAGAUAAGGCAUACUCCUAGAUCCUUAGUCCUAUUCUAGCAGGCUAUUCUUCUGAAACUGAAACAUAUAAUCAUAAUAUAAACUUGUAUGGGUAAUUUGGGAGUACAUACUUGAGCUCGGUUGAUCGCAUGCACCACACCCUUUUCCUUUUUCUCAAAACUCUUUUCUUUUUAAGUUUUUUUUCAGAAAUUCUUUCGGAAACAUUUUUGGUUUAAAAAUCUUUUACCAUUUCCUUAGUUUGAGUCCAGUCAUACUCAAAAGUGUGCCUAAAUCCCUCAAACCAAGGAUUUGAUACCAACUUGAAACGACCCCAAUACACGACCCAAAAUUUUUUGUUUUAAUAUAACUAAAAAUCACAUCAUCGAAUGUCAUAUAUGCUAAGAACCAUAAAAUGAGUAACUCAAAGGUCAAACUAACUAUGUCAAAACAAAAGUAUAUUAAAAUAUAUGAAUAAAACCCCGAGGAAAAAACUUAAACUAUGGUGUGUGCGAUGCCAUCAUCCCGAGCUCUUCCCCUUGCUAGCGGAAGUACCUGAAAACAAAAAUGAAACUGUAAGCAUGAAGCUUAGUGAGCUCCAGCAAACUACCACAUACCAUACAAUAACAUAUAUACAACUAUUGGGACUUGACCACUGCAUCGGACCGAAGUCCGGAACUAACCAGGGCCUUGCCCUCUGCAUCGGACCGAAGUCCGGAACUGACCUAGAUCUUGUCCCCUGCAUCGGAUGGAAGUCUGGAACUGAAUGGGACCUUGUCCCCUGCAUCGGACCGAAAUUUGGAAACUGACUGCGCAUAGCAUAUCAUAAACAUAUCAACUAGCAAGAACACCUAUACCGCAUACUGCAUCAAACCAGUGUUCAGAACACAUAACACAAACAUGCUUGAAUCACAAAGACAUCAAGCAUUCUAACUACUGCAUCGGACCGAGGUCCGGAACUACUGCUAACUAAAUGGGCCGACAUUAUGGUCGUAGACCCGUUCCUACUGGAAGGAAAACUCACCUCGUAAGCUGGUUCAAGAAAUGCUACCCAGGAACUGACCGCUGCUGCUGCUCCGUAGCUUUUCGGCUACAAUUCCCACAAAUACUCAAUUAAUUACUAAUAACUAAACUUACGAUAAAAUGACUAUUUUACCCCUGGUCAAAGUCAACUCUCAAUCGACUUGACUCGCCGAGUCGAGCUGCCAACUCGUCGAGUCCUGGUCCUUAUAUCCAAUCCUCUGUACGCUUUUACUCGUCGAGUAUAGCAAGGUCUCAACGAGUCCAUAUUCGAUACUAUAUCAAGUUCGUGUUCAUCUGACUCACUAAGUUGUAUGAACAACUCGUCGAGUCCUCCUUCCUCCUAUGAAUGAGAACAGUUCUUGACACGCCGAGUUGUAUGAACACCUUGUCGAGUCCUUCCACUACUAGAUCUGAGCCUUAACUUUCCGAGUCCAUUUCCUACUCACUGAUUCCACCCUAAACUCUCGAAUGGGGAAAAAUCAGGGACUUGCGACUCGACUCGUCGAGUCUGAAGAAUGACUCGCCGAGUCCCAUGCAUGCCAUUACUAUAUAGUUGAUUCUGCUCGAAUCCAGUGCAUUACAUUCAUAGAUCUGGGCUCCUAGGGCUGGUUUUUCCAGGUAAAGUUUCUAACUUUGCGUGCAUGCAUGCUAAUAUGAAGCUCAAAUACCCAAAAUAAGCUAACAGGAAGAGAACUAUGUAUGGAAUGGAAACUUGGCUCAAUAAAAGUUGCAACCUUGAGCUUAAGAGGCUCUGGAAAACUUAGAUCUGAAGCCCAUUCAUCAUAUCAACUCUUAAUUCGACCUUAAAGCCUAGAAAGGGCUCAAAAUCAACAAAAGCAAACUUUUCAAGAGAUCUAAUUGAUAAUAAGCAAAGAUUCGAGCUUGAUACCUCAAAGGGGACUGAAAUGCAACCAGAAAUCUGAAUCUACUUGCUCCCCUUGAAUAUUUCUCUUCUCUCUUCUUCCUGAAAUCCUCAAGACACACGAAAACCUUCACAAGUGAGGAAGUGCUCCAAAAAUGCUUAAGAACGGCUAGGGUUUCGUAUGGGACUCUUUGUGGGUGAGGGAGACUGGUCUUGGGGCAUAUAACAUGUUUAAAUAGGGUGCAAACCCUUGAAAUUAGGGUUUCAUCCAGACUGGCAGACUCGCCGAGUCCGGGAAUAUGGACUCGUCGAGUCGCGAACUUAAACCGCAUGCAACUCCCGACUUUACUCGACGAGUCGGGCUACAGACUCGUCGAGUACCUCUUAAGAAUUAAAAAUUACUUUAUUUAAAUCACAUAAAAGAAAUGGGGACUUGCACCGGAAAACUGUAACUUUUAUUUGUUAUAUGAGUGUUUGGCAAAAGUAGCUGGAAGCUUUUGAAAUAUAUAAUAUUACAUAAAAGGACAAUUUAUUAAAAAUAAAUAAUUAUAUAAAUAUACUUUUUAGGGUAAUUAUGGAAAUUGAUUUGAAAAGCUCAGUAGCAUUUUGUUAAACGCUACAUGAAGUAGCUUUUAGAUUUGCAGCGUUUUGUUUAAACUAAAAGCCAAACGCUCAUACUACCAAACAAAGUUUUUUGUUUAAAGUACAUCAUUUUGUCAAAAGCUAAAAGCUAGAAGCUCCCAAAUGCUUCCAAAAGCUUCAUGCCAAACAUGCCCAUAGUAGGGAAGAGAGUUUCCAAUAGCAGCACUGUCUUUCCAUCAAGACUAAGCAGUCUCUUUCAUCUUCAUCAGAACUAGUGUCUGCUUUUUGCUUCAAGGAGCCAACAAGAGCAUUAUUGACAAUGGGUUGACACAUACGAAGGUAAAGACCUUUUCAACAAUCUUGAGCAUCUCAUAGUCUGUUGUUUCAAGAACAACCAUGUCCUUUGUUUUCCUCAUAGCGAAGUUGUGUUUAUCAAAGGGAGCAAUUUUGUUGAGACCAAAGGAUUUGGGAUUAUAGGAAGUCAACAUGAUUACUAGAGUGUAUCAAAAACAUGCUCUGAUACAAAUUGAAGGUUUGUAUCGAUCAGAUACACUUGAAGUAUAACGAAUGAAAGUAAACUUAAUAUAAGAAAAACAACGAAUGGACACAAAAUAACACAGAAAGUUCUCCAAAUUGCUUUUUCACCAAGAAAGAAUUUUUUCUUCACCAACAAGAUGAUUUCUCACCAAGACGAUUACGACACCAAGUUGUGUUAACAUUAGGGUUUCACCCUAAUGUCCAAUAUAUAUUGUUGGGACAUGAUUUGUGGUUUAUACUUUACUUUACUUAGCUUUUAGAGUUCUCGGUCUAGGACUAAAAACACCAAUGGUGUUUAGACCGAAAUCCUGAAGUGAUUUCGGUUGGGCUUUAGGUUGGGCCUUUGUAAUUAGCUCUACGAAUAUAUUAUAUUGUUUCAGCCGUGUUCUAAGUCGGUCAUUCUAGUUGUUGAUUUCGAGAAUUGAGAGAGACAAAGAGAAGCGAGAGACAUAGAGAGUCUUAUGUACUAGAUUAUUAAUUAAUAUAGUGUGCAUUGAAGAUUCAUCAUUGUGUUCUUAUUUCAUACUUAGGAUUUGUGUCAAUCACUUGAUUGGGAUUUCGCACGAAUCUAGUGAUUUGUAUUGAUACCUAGAUCAUGGUUUUACAAUUAGUAUCAGAGCAAUGAUUGGUAUCAAUCGAAUUGGCAAAAUAUUAAGCGUUCUUUGGAGUUUUUCUUGGAGUUUCUGGUGUUUUUGAGUUCUUUUUGACGAACAUUAUUGCUACUGUUCUUCGUGUUCUUCGCUUCAUUGAAGAUUUUCAUCGAAAUCGGUCUUGAUAAAUUACCAAAUUUGUGUUACUAACGCUUUUGGGCAUUUUCGAUCAGGUCUGGACGUUUUUGGCGGCAAACUUCAAGUUCUUGAUUAGCUUUUGGUGUUCUCGGCGGCUGAAUAGUGUUCUCAGUAAUGAGAUAUAUGGUUCUCAGCUUGGCAGAGUUCUCGGUAAGGUUCUCGGCUUGGAAGAGUUCUCGGUCAAGAAGUUCUCUUCUCGCAAAACUAUUUUUGGUCAAACAUUUGAUUUUUAAUGAUGUCGGUCAAAUAGAGUUUUCCGUCAACAGGAUUUCGGUCAACAAUCUUGACUUUUUGACUUUUCGGUCAAACCUAUUAGUUUUCGGUUAAAUCAUAUACCUUUCGGUUUACAAUGGACUCAUACAACAAUUCUCUUUCAGCAAUGCAAAGUGAUCUUGAUUUAGUUAUGGGGAAAAAACUCGAAUUCCCGAGCUGCUAACUAUUGAUGGAUUUCCUGAGUGGCAAUUCAGAUUUGAGAAAUAUAUUAAGAUGAUGGAUAUCAAAGUCUAGAGAAUCUUCCUGAGAGGUCUAGUCAAGAUCAUAAGCACUCUAGAUGAUGAAGCUAAAACCACGGUUGAGGAUCAUAACCACUAAUGAGGAUUUCGACAAGAUUGAAAAUGAUGAGAAAGCACUGGCUAUUCUUACCAUCGCUUUGUCCCCUUACAUUGCUCAUGGUUUCCGGGAGUAUAAAUCUGAUAAGGCUUUGUGGGAAGCCUUAAUUGAGGUAUAUGAAGUGAAUGAAGAUAUGAAGCAAAGCAGACACGAUUUGCUUCAUCAAAGAUUCAACAUGUUUAACCAUGUUCUUGGGGAGGCUCUAGAAGUCGAGUUGCAACGUUUUAUUACUCUCAACACAGAAGUGAGCAUUGUUGGAAUUGUUUUGUCUUGCUCUAAGAUAAAUAAGAAGCUACUAAAUUCACUUCCCAGGAAUUGGGAUAUAAAUGUGUAGGUGAUCAAGAACACAAUGUACCUGAGUAAACUCUCUCUUGCCGAAGUGAUGGCUAUCAUCAAGGCAUGUGACAUGGAUGACAAGUAGAGAGAAAUUAGUCAUGUCAAAAUAUACUCAACUGCAAGCUUAAGAGCAUCCACUAUCAGUGCACUUUUAUCUGUAUCAUCGCAUUAUGCUCCUCCAUCUUUUGGUCUACCAAUGGCAUCUCCCAACUAUGAUGUGUCCAGUUCCAGGACCAAAUCCACCUCACAGACUCCGGCUGCUGCCAAAGGAGUUGUACAAAACGUGGCUACGAUCGCUAGAUUCAUGAACUGCUACAAUGCAUUUGUAGCUGGUGAAUUGGUUCAUCUAGUUAUGAUUGGAGAACUUGAUCAAAUUCAGCCAAAGGAUGUUGAAGAGAUGGACAUAUCAUGGCAUACUGCUAUGGCGGUGUUCAGGGACAAGAAGUUCACUCAACGAACUGGAAAGAAUAACUGGGGAGUGAAUGUGGAUAACAUAGUGGGCUUCAACAAGAGUAAGCUAAGGUGUGACAACUAUCACAAGGGAAUUCAUUUUAUAUGGGUUUUGAGCACUAUAACAUCCCUAUGGUGCACAUACAACCCUAAUGCUUUGGAUCUAAGUUUUCUCUAGUUAUAUAUGUAAAUUUCAUUUUUCUAAAGCAUGAAGCCUAUCUAGCAUACAACAAGAUAUAUGAAGCAUAACAAAACUAGUUAGAAGAUUACCUCUUGUUGUAGCUUGUUGAAUUUGACCUUUCAAGGGCUUAGCACCUCAAGUGUGACUCCUCUAACAAGUAGCAAACAAAACCAACACUUGGAGGACUUUAUAGAGAGCUUCUAGGCACCUAAAAUCGGCUAUACUCCUGCUACAUCACUUGUUUGUAUCGAUUUUGGGCCAAGGGGUUAUAUAUAUAUANAGAAUCCCAAGAGUCAUAUGUAACCUUAAUUCUUACACUUAGGCUUAUGAUCCAAUAACCCAUCUGGACUAACUCUUCAUGGACUCUGACAUAAACUUAGUCCAUCAUUGAUAAAUAGGCCAAACCAUAUGUAUCACUCAUUUACAUAAUUAGUCCCCGUUAAUUUAAUUAGUCUCUUUUGAUCAUUAAAUUAAUUCUUGAUCAAUACUAAUUAAAUAAUAUCAUUUAUCCAUUAAUAUAUUAUACUUAUAAUAUAUUAAUAAAUCACAAAUAACCUCUUUCUCAAAUAUCCAUCCUAUCAGAUUGUUCUGGUGAAGGCAAACCAAAAGGACCAUGCUACUAUCAGGUUAAGUACAUACCUAUUAUAGUUAUAGGCUUAGACACCUAAUCCAACAGUCUCCCACUUGGACAAGUCUAAUAUCUAUAAUUGUAAGUAAAACAAAUUAGCAAUCACACCUCUCAAAUACCGUUGUUGAACUCUGAUACGUCCUUUAGAUAAGGGAUCAUAUGAUCCUCUGUUCAUCAAGAUAUCAUGCGGAAAAACACAUGGGACAUAGUCAUACUCAUUGUCCAAAAGUUUGUUUGACUCGACGAGUUUAGCUGUCAGACAGGCAGAUUUUCGGGAUUUUUGCCUAUUUUGACUUAGGAUAAUUGUCAUAAUUGUUUAAAAUUAAUAAAAUUCAAAUUUUAUUGAUUCCUUUUGAUUAUCUUUGUCAAAAUAAAAUAUUUUGGUCAUCUAAUUAUAUAAUUGUUACCGUAUUUGAUAAAUGUUAAAUUAUUUGAACUAUUUGAUCAUUAUCUUAUAUGAAAUUAAAUUAGGUCAUAAUUAGGUAAUCAACAAUUAAUUGUUUAAUUGCCUGAUUUGUAUUUUGAUCUUAUAUUUUUGAAAGGUUUCAAAACUUCCCUUCAAGUUAUGGAAUUUAAAAUUUUGAUUAAAAAUUUUAAUUUUCAAAUAUUUAAAUUCUAAACACAAAUGAUUUGAAAUGUUUCAAAACUUGCCCUCAAGUUUUGGAACUUAAAUUUUUAUUUAAAAGUUUAAUUUUAAAAUGUUGAAUUCUAAAACCCUAUGUUUUGAAAAAGUUCAAAUUGCACCCUAUUGUUUUAUUAAAUUAAUUAAGUGUAUAAUUAAAAGAAAGUUAAUAAAUCCAUAUUGAUAUGGUUUACAUGUAAUUAAAUUAAAAGUGUAAUUUAUUAAGUUAGACCACCUAGUAUUUUAAAAAUGUAAAAUACACCCUUAUACUAUAUAUAACAUAAAAAGUCUAAUAUUAUAUAUGUAUAACUUAAACUGCUAGUCUUAGCGUUAGUAGGCCUCAUUCACGAAAUCAAUCUAUAAGGGAGGUAUAAGGUUACGGUCUAUAAAAUGACCGUUUAAUGGGUGUCCAUUCUCACCCACCGCUUCCUUGAUUGGUGGAGAGUCGUUAGCCGAACGGGUAGGAUAGGGCAAACCCUUUCCAUUAAAAGUAUAAUGAAGUAUAAAGUAACUAAAUGUUUUUACAAAAUUCCCAAUCGUAGUUACUUUAGGAAAAAGUGAAUUGAUGCAAUUCCAUGAAAUUACACUUUGUGCCAUUGCAAAGACGUUAGUGGAGCGUGUGUGGUUAACCGGCACACUAAAUGGUUCUAAGAAAAUGUUGAAAAGGGUGAUUCAAUGUUUUUCAUAGUUUGGUGGAGCGUGUGUGGUUAACUGGCACAUUGAAUAGGUGACUGUAACAUUGGGGGCACCAUGUAAGUUUGCAUGGUUAUUCACACCCUAUUUUCUGAUCCUCGGCAUCCCAGUCACAAAUCAGGGGGCAUAUCGAGAUUUAAACAUGCCAUUGAAAGGAUCAAUGAAUCUCAAAGGAUCUAGGAGUUUUCAAUACAUUUGAAACUUAAUCCCUAUUUCGUUUUUCAUGGUGGAAAAUUAGUGAAUCAUCAUUCACUUACCUUCAAAUGUUCGACAAUUUGGGUUACAACAUCCCUCUCCCAAGUUGUGGAAUAUUGUGUUGGGUCCUAGCAUUAAUAUCUCAUUUGGUUGAUUUAUUAAGGACUCAAUCAAUAAACUAACUUGAAUUUUCUCCCGUUUUGUAGAUGUCAAAGUAUGACAACUAUGAUCUUUCCAAAUUCCGUGGAACAAGCUUUCCACAUAAAGAUGAUAUUCCAUGAUUUGAUUGAGGAACCCGAGAUCAUGCUUCACUUCCUCCACCUCCUCCUUUUGUUCUCCCUAUCCCACAAGUUCAAAGGCUUGAAAAGUUCAAACUCACUCAAUCCCUUUUGGCAAGUAAGCAUGAACAAGGAAAGUCAGUGUGUGCACACGUCCUAGAGAUGAAGUCACACAUGGAUAGGUUACGAAUGUUGGGAUCCGUUGUCUGUGAGGAGCUGGCUAUUGACUAGGUUCUUUAGUCGCUUCUUGACUAUUAUAGUGAGUUCGUAAGAAAGUACUAUAUGAUGAACCUCGACGUGACCCUCAUCGAUCUCACAUAUAUGCUUAUUUCUGCUGAAUCAACAAUGAUUUGGCGCACUGGAAAAGCAAAGUUGAUUGGUGGAUUUGCCUUCCAGACCUCUAUGGAUAUAGGCAAUUGCAAAAAAAGGCAUGACAUGGUCGAAAAGUUUGAUCAUAAGAGAAAGGCAAAGUCUGAAGUAGUUCUGUGUGCUGUUCCAAAAGAGUCAAUUUGCUUUUUUUGCCAAGAGAAGGGGCAUUGGAGACGAAGUUGCCCUGUCUACCUGAGAGAUCUAAGAGAUGGAAGAGUCAAGACGUAUGACUCUACUUCAAGUAAACACCACUAUCUAACUCCAUUAAGUUCCUAUUCAUUGAUUCUUAAUACAUAAUGUGAUAAGAUUGCAGGAUCAGUGAAAAGAGAGGAAGCUUGAUGGAAGAGUAAGAUGAGUUUGAUCACGAAGAAAUGGAUCACGAUUGCAUGGGUUCGAAGAUCAGAUUUUGAGCUUAGAAAGUUAUGAUACAGUGGUUAGGAAUAUUUGACUACAUAGUUUUUCAGUUGAUUUUGCAUUGUAAGGACAUGUUUUCCGCUGUUUUUAUGAAUAAAAUAAAAUUUUGAUUUGUCUUAUAUCCUUGCAAUGAAAUCGUUGUGAAAAAUUAAUGUUUGUGUAUUUCUAUAAAUGGAUGUGAUUCUUGAUUAUGUUAUUUAUGGUAGUGUCAAAAUUUUCUAAGUGUGGAAAGAUUCCCAUCACCCAAGUUUCAAUUGGACAGAAACCUGGAAUCAUAUGAUUUGAAUCAUGUGAUGUAUGGAUAUCUUGGUACUUAGGAAUUUAAGACUAAUUCCUUGACAAAAAGUCAAGUGAAGGACUAGGAGAACGGGUUCACAAUGUUGUGCAUUAGUCAAGUCCACAACAAAUAAAAAUAAGACUAUUCGUCAUAAUUUACUAAAAGUCUAGUAAAAGUGGUUAUGCUUACAAGAUUAAGAGGAAUUAUGAAUCAUUGAAAAGUUUCAAUGAAUGGCAGAACGGAUAUGAAGAAUCAAUUAGGUAGAAAGAUAAAAAGUUUCUCAAAUCUAAGAAGAAGGGAGAGUACUUCUGUAUUGGAUUUUGUGAUCGCCUUAAUGAUUAAGAACCAUAUCACAAUUGAUCCUCUACGGACAUCUUAGUGCAGUGGUAUGGCUAAGAAGAGGAAUCAGAAAUUGUUGAAAUGGUUAAAUCAAAAGGAUGAGUCAUGCUUCGUUUCAAAUCAAGUCUUAGAAUCGUAUUCCAAGAUUGUGAAUUGAGUGACACACUCUCAUCAAAUGUGAAGUAGAAAAUUGCUUUUUCCUACUCUUGCACGUUUGAAAUUGGUAAGUUGUGAUGUCUUGUAGAAUACAAGGACCAACUAAAACCAAAUGUGUGCAAUGUUUUCUCUUGAUAUAGACACACACUAACUCUUAGAUAUUUGUUUAUCAGGAAAUGUUUCUUGAUAACAAAAUCUUAUAUCUCAAGGGGUCAGUGGGAGUCUAAAUGUUCUUGAAAAGUUUCGAGAACUAAUCAAGAGUAAAACUAUUGUUAAACACUAGCACACGACUUGAGGAUUGUAACCUAUCGUGUUAACAAAGUUUUAUUUAUAUGCCAAUCAAGUUGAGUGAUUAUGCAUAUGAGUUCUAUGAGUUCUCAAUAGAAUGCAUAAGGCGAGCACCUUAUUCAAUGAAAGUACAUUGACUGGAAUAGGUGAGCUGCUAGAUAACUUGGAAGAAAUGGUGGGACUCUUGAUGGCAAGAAAUUAAGAAUGAACAACUUUUGUCCAUAAGAGUUUGAAUUUGUCACAAACAAUAUCUUACGAUUAUGGUUAUGGCAAAUUCACAUGGAUAGGAAUACAUACACCAUAAAAUCUAAGUGUCAUAAGGUUUCUCUCCUUCAUGAAAAUGAUUGUGAGGAAACGCUUUCACUAAGAGAGAUUUUAAAGAGAUAGCGACUAUGUAAAUUGCAUUCUCAAAUUCGAUUAUGAUUACGACAUCCCUCUUCAUAGUUCCAAUUAUGAGAUUUUGCAAUUAGUUUGAACAUUUGGGACUUAGUAAUAUAAGUUCUGAAUUAGUUUAGACACACAUAUGAGCUAUCCAAGGGAAGGUGUAUAAGGUGAGAAGUUUAGAUAAAGGCUUAUCAAAGCAUAUCGUAUUAGAAACAAUGAAAUUUGGAAGUCAAUAAGCAUUGUUUUCUAGAAGUUUAGCUGGUUUCUAAAUACGUGUCAGAGCUAGUGGGAGCAUAAAUGUUAUGCUGGAAUGGAUAUAAUCAUCAUGUUAGUGGGUGCAUGAUUAUUAUUUAAUUAUUGCAAGUUGGCAAUAUUAAUUGUUGGGAUUAAAACCCUAAUUGAGAUUUGAUGAACAAGAUGGGGAAAAUAAGAACAAACACAAAUAUGAAGAUUAUGUCGGAUGAUCACUCGAUUUAUUCAAAUAUGAGGAAUAAAUUACAUUUUCAGCAUAGACUAAAGAAUCUAACACAACAUAAGAAACCUCGCGUGGCAGCUACAUUUUGCCUUACUCUUAACCCUAAUUGUGAAUAAUACAUGACUAUUUAUAGGGAAAAGAUAAGUCUAGUGCUUUUAACCUAGAAUUCAUCAAAGGGCCCAUUGCAUCAUCCAUGGAGUGCUUUGAAACCCUACAAUCUCCCCCUCAAAGUAUGGAAUGGAUGACAAUGCUUUAACUUCCAAAACAAGCAUCUAGCAAAUAAAAAGAUUUGCAACGAGGAAAAUAUGAAGUAAUCAACGAAUCUUGAUUCUUCAAUAGUCUUCAAACACGGGCUCUAGGAUAUAUAAAUCAAGCACUGAAGUAAUGUCUUUAAACUUCAUUUUCGAAUGUAAUCCUAAAGAAUCUUCAUGAAAUCCAAACCCGCCAUAAAAACCCAUUUCAGAACAAAGAAACCGAAUCACUUCUUUUCUUUGAAGAGCUCCCCUUCCAAGUCACAAUAAUCUUCAAAUAAGUUAAUGAUAUAAGCCAUGAAAAAAAUAUCAUGUAACAACCCAAACUUUAAGAUUCGUAACGCCACUUGAUCGAGAAAAUACUAGAAGUCGGAGAUAUAACAAGUCCUUAGCCGAGCUUGAUGAAGAACUUCUACUGUAAAGGAUACUUUUCUAUAAAAGCUUUAGCAGAGCUUCAUGAAGAACUUCCACUGUAAAAGCUACAUUCAUAAUUCUACCACAAGCUUUAUCAAAAAUCUUUUAAAUUUGAAAAGUUACAAAUCCAAUUUCGAAUGGCCAUAUCAAAUUCUCCCCCGAUUUAUAAUCGAAAACGUGAUUAUAAAGCCUUCUAAUGGUCAUGAGAAUGAUCUUGAAUGGAUAAAAAUUAAUGUGCUCCCCUGCGACAAAAUGAUAUAUACAAUGAAGUAUAAAAUCCAAAAAAGUCGUGAAAAUUCGUCGUUAUCACGAAAAACGACUUUCCGAACCGCCAACACUUGAUGGAAUCUUUAUUUUUCUGUUCACAAAAAAAUAUGUGCGUUAAAGAAUUCAAAACUGUUCACCAGCCCUCAAAUUUGCAAACUUUUCUAAAAAUGGGCUGAAACUGUCACUUUCCAGAACCUCAGGGGCUGGAAUGGUAAUUCUGCAUCAAUAUACCCCUUUAUUUGUAACAAAAUCUGGAAAUGGUCCAAAACUGCCAAGGCAUGAAACGCGUAGAGACCAAAGGAGUCAAAUCACCGAAGUUUCAGGGACCAUAAGUGUAAUAUGUGCAUCUUCUUCCCCAAUUUAUCUGUGAUUAAAAGAACACUUGAAACGAAUCAAAUCGUAGACGAAAACCAAAGUACCGAUUCCAAUCAAUUCCACCGCUUCCUAUCAUGAAGACGUGAAUCUGAGUCACUUUCAUUUCAAGCACAACCAACAGAACCUAGGUUCGCUCCAGGUUCAUUGAACCGAAACCAUGUUCGGUCCGAGCACAGGUUCGCUUUCGGUCCUCCCCUCUUUCUUUCCAAGCACAAUCACAUGAACUCAAGUUUGUUCCAGGUUUAUUCCAAGUCCGUUGAUUAUACCCCCAAAGUGAAUCUAAGUUCGUCCCAAGCAUCACGAUGUGAAUCCGAUUUUAUGACAAAAGUGAAACCUUAGCCAAACCGAAUCAUAGGUUCGCUUUCCUCUCUGUCGUUCCAGAGCGAACAAACGAACCCAAUCAUAGGUUCGCUUUCUCCUGAUGUUUGAGGGAUCGCAUGACAAUGGUUCAUGGUUCCACCCAAUUCAUAGUCAAUUUUGACUAUUUCUGGCUUGAGUUUUCACAUUGAGAUACGAAAAAUGUAUCUGUUCCGAUUCCUUCAUUUUGAUUGCGCUCAUAAUCCAUUCGUUCCGAUCACAAAUAGACAGCCUUCGUUCUGAUCGUCUGCAUUCGAAUUCCAUGCAUUCAAUUUCAUCAUCGUUGCGAAUUCAAACAAAAUUUUCACAAUUUCGAUUUAGUAUCCAAAUCGUAAAUCAAACCAGAUACCUUUAUUGAAUCUUAAAAAAUGUUGGCCAUCGGAACCCAAUACUUGACAAACACCAAAUUGAUUUUCACAAAUCGAUUUAAAGAUCAAACACCACAUCAAUCGAAUUUAUCACCAUCUUCAUCUGUUUUUGACAAUACUUCAUCUUUUCUUUAAACUCAAAAACAUCGAAUGACAAUUUUGGACCCCAAAAUCACAAUCGAACUUAACAAUAACAAGAGAUGAUUCACGUUUAAUAAUAUCCAAAAAAAUCAUUAUCAAUUAGAAAACAAAAUCGAUGUUGAACAGGUUAUAAGAACUCGGAUGCGAACAAGUUAUGCACAGUUAGAUAUAAGAAACUGGAUUCAAAGACCAAAUCGAUUAAUAGAUUAAACCAGAGUCAUGAAUCAUGAAAUCGAGCGAAACAUAAGAACAAAAUGCGUAGAUUAACCAGAGGAUUUCAAGAUAUGUUGACGCAUGAUUGGUGAUUUCAAAUGCAAUAAUGAACAAUCAGCGAAUAAAGUUAUUGGACUCAAGAAUGAAUAGUAAACGACACUAGUUGGGCUCAGGAACAAAGUAGAAUUGAAUUAAUGGAUUAAAACAAAAGAAACAAAUCCAUUGACAGCAAAGUAGCAAACAAAUAAUCCUAUCCAAUCAAAAAUAUGAACUUAAAAUCGAAUGGGAUAACAAAAACAAUACCAGAUGAACAGUAAGUUUUCAUGAACAAUUGAUUGAACAGAAAGCUUGAUUCCAAGUUGCCAAAACACCAAUAAUCUUCAAUAACUUGUGAAGAAAAUCAUCAAAUUAAGAACCGAUACUUCAAAAAUCAAUAGAUCUUCAAAGACCCGCUCUGAUACCACUUGUUGGGAUUAAAACCCUAAUUGAGAUUUGAUGAACAAGAUGCGGAAAAUAAGAACAAACACAAAUAUGAAGAUUAUGUCGAAUGAUCACUCGAUUUAUUCAAAUAUGAGGAAUAAAUUACACUUUCAGCAUAGACUAAAGAAUCUAACACUAUAUAAGAAACCUCACGUGGCGGCUACAUUUUGCCUUACUCUUAACACUAAUUGUGAAUAAUACAUGACUAUUUAUAGGGAAAAGAUAAGUCUUGGGCUUUUAACCUAGAAUUCAUCAAAGGGCCCAUUGUCAUCAUCCAUGGAGUGCUUUGAAACCCUACAUUAAUUAUAGGAAAACAAAAGUUUCACUUUGCAAAGUUGCAGGUGUUGAAAAGUUGUUUUUGCUAUAACUAAGGGAGAGAAUGUUAUACUUUGUUUCUAAUCUAAAAUCUUAGAUCGAGAAAUUUUAAUUGAAUUUAGUCAAGGAUAUAUUUAUUAUUUGCAUUCUCAAAGUUUGAUUAUGAUUAUGACAUCCCUCUUCGUAGUUCGAAUUUUGAGAACACGGCAAAUAGAAAUAUUAUGACGAUAUUGUAGUAAGAAACUGGUAAAGUAUCAUGUUUUUAUUAUGAAUUGCAUUCCAUACGCUUCGAGUAUAGGAUCAAUUGCAUAUGCUAUAAUAUUUGACCAUUGUAAAAUUUUCCAAAUGUCUAGGGCAUUUAGAGGGAAAAAGGAAAAGGAAUCGGUUUUGACUAAAAUAAUUAAACAACAGCUAAGGAUAAUCUAAGGUUCGCCAAGGAUUGGUCGCUUGUGGACAGUUGGAAGUGUAGUCAUGGAUGGAUCAUAUUGACAUUAUUAUGAAUAGAUAAGAUUCUAUUUAAAAUGAGUUGUCAUAUGAAAAUAUGGAAAUGUUUCCAUGUUGGGAGUUGGACGUUAAAAACUUAUGUCUGGAUUAGAAACUUUUAUGCAAGAAGGAUGUUCAAAGGAAUGUACUUUGAAUGUGAGACUUCAUAUCCAUGGAAUUGUCUUGUAACAAUCUCCAAUAGAGUAUUUUGUAAUUUCGUUGGCCGAGUCAUGGUGACUUUUGUGCCGUGACAUUACGAAAUGACCGUUGCAUAAAAUGUUAGAAUCUAACAUAUUCUAGUAGUGGCGAGAAUUUUGUGUUGUUACACUAAUGGAUUAGGAAUAGUGAAAUGAGUAUGAUUGAAAAUGUUAUUAAAUUAUACUAUUUCACAAAGUAAGGACCAUAGGUAAACAUAGUGUGCAUGCUAAGAGCAUGGGAAAAUUGUUGUUAUAAUUUAAGUAAAAAGUUGAUUACCCGAAACAACAAAUAAUGACUAAUCAAUAUGAUGAUUAAACAAAAUGUUUUAUUUAUACCCAAAGUUUGGGGCCAUAUGGGAUUAGUAUUAUUCUUGUGUUUCACUUUGAAUGUUUUGACUUCCUGAAUAAUUAAAUUAUUUCAGAAUAAUCAAAUUAUUUGAACAGUCCACAGUCGUUCAUAUGUUGGAAGUAGAUAUGAAGGAAGACUGUCGUGAAUUGGUGUGUGGAUUAUCUAAAGUGUAUUAGACAUAAGAAAAUGUUUGUUGCAACGAUCAUGAGUGCUUAUGAAUAUGAUUUGAGCAUUGGACUAAACCCACGCUCAGUUGGAUCACUUCAUAGAUUUUAUCACGAGUGAUUGGUGAGACGGUUACACAUUGAUAAUAUGUAAACGCACCAGUAACUUGGUGUUAUAAAACAUAUUGUUGUGUGUGAUUCGGUGAGUGAGUGCAAGUAAGCAUUGAAUCAAAGUUUAUCCGUUCCUUUUAUCCAAAGUGGGAUAAAAGCGAUAUUUGUGGGCCCCUCGAUGAUUUAGUGAUGACACCUAAGCGCUUGGUGUCACACCCCAAAACCGAGAACGGCGGAAACGUUCUGGGGCGGAGGACCUCAUGUAAAGUAUCACAAUAUAGUAAUAGUAAACAAGCAAACAACAUCAUCCAUUGCAUUAAAUAUAUAAUUUUAAUACAAGUGUGUUCUGUACAGUAUAGACACCAAAAAUAAUGUAAGUCAAAAUAAAGAGAUGAUUCCUAUAUGCGCUCCAUCUUCACAAAAGCUGGUCUCGAUACUUGUCUACUGAUGACCUGAGAAUACAAGUUAUUUCAAAGAGUUUAUCAACAUUAAGCUGGUGAGUUCAUAAGUAUUUUAGUGUCGGUGUUUGUUAUCCAAACGUUUGGACAUGUCUCAAGUGUAGGUUUGUAAAAUGUAUGUAAAUGUUUGUAAGUGUUUGUAAAAGUUUGAAUCUCUCAGAAAAACCUAUAUUUUCUAUUAAAGUAGCCUUUUACCAAGGCUUAACUGUUUUGUAUGCUCGUUUGUUGUAAAAGUGUGUAAUUUCCCAAGUGUAACUAUCAUUAAUAAAAUAUAGUUUGUACAUAAAUGUUAAAUUGAAAUAAUCACUAAAUGUAUAUAAUGGGUAAACUAAUGUAGUACUGUAGUGUUGUAUUAUAGGAACUACUGCUGUACUAACUACCAUAAACCGGAUUUAUAUUAAGGUAUCAUGUGAUUUGUUAUACCAUACUAUCGACUGAGUAACAACGACAAAUGUAGGUCGUAAAAAGGUAUGACGUUUGGCACCCGCAGACCUGCAGGUCCUGCUGUAGCUAGCAGCAAGGUGUAGGAUAGUCAAUCCAGUAUAGAUCUAUACGCAAACUCACGCUCUCCCUCCAGGAGACUCUGGUUACAACUCAGACCAUGACAUUUAAGGCAUGCUCCGAAACAGUGGAUCACAUUUAUGUAAGUGUAUGUAUGUAUAUGUUUAUGUAUUGUUCCUGUUCUAGUAUCGUUGUAUAUGUUCUCUUUCUAGUAUAGUUGUAUAUGUUUUCCUUCUAGUAUAGUUGUAUGUGUUCUCAUAGUAAUAUGAUGUAAAUGUUCACGUAGUAAUGUAAUGUAUAUGUUUUCAUAGUAAUAAGUAUUGACUCAUGAAUGAACUGACUUAUUGAUCUAGCAAAAGUAUAAGUGUAAUCCUAUGUUACCCCGAUGGUAACUUACUAAUGAUGUAACUGAUACGCAUGAAUAUGGAAGUACUUUUAUGUCUAUAUAUGCACAUAUGAUAUAUAAUUAAUAUUGAAACGACCCUCGGACGGCUACUCGACAUCCCACCAGACCACAUCCAAAUCGAGGAAAAGGAAAUAGGGCAGAUGGCCUUCGUAAGCCUUUUAAACAUUUCUUAUAUAUUUAUGCAUAUAUGGACAUGAAAUUUAUAAGAAGUAUAAUAAAGUUUAAAUAAAAGUAUUUGAUAAGUAAAAGAGUUUGUAAAACAUUUUGAAGUAAAACAGUUUGAUAAACAUUUUGAAACAGUGAUGAAAUCAUUGGUUUGGUAGUUAUUAAUCACAUGUGAUUGAUGUAAUAACUAGAAGUAUUCAACUUGUACCCCCCCCAUAAAAGUAUUUAAAACAUUUAAAAUUAUUUCAAAGGUUACUUUAAAUGGGUAUAAACUCACCUGUAGUGAGUUGUUCUGAUGACAACGUUGGACUAGACGCUAGGUGUCAAGUGGUGACUUGAGAACACGGGCGAAUCCUAUUUAACAUAUAUUGGCACAUAUAUGGAUUUAAUUAGUGUUAUGAACAACUAAUUGAUGAUUUUGGGACCACCUUAGGGACUAGUAAACAUUUAUAAUGAAGUGUUAUAAUCAUAUAUGAUUGUAUGAGGGUUUAUAAGGCUAUACAAGAGGGUGUAUGGCCAAAAUACACACUAUAUGUGUGUGUGCGGCCAGGUGUGCGGCCUAGUGUGCUGCCAGCACAUGUGUGCGGCCCUGUGUGCGGCCAUGUGUGCUGCCAGGUGGUGUGUGCUGCCAUGUGUGCGGCCAGAUGAAGAUCUUGGUGUUCUUGGUGUUCUUGGUGUUCUUGGUACCUUUUAUGAAGAUCUUCAAGGAGAAUGGAUGAUACCUGAGAGGAUUUUCGUGUUCUAUGCUUGAAGAAGUGAAGGAAGGGUUCAAGAAUGAUCUAACUGUGGCAUAUAUAGGUGGAGUGUGCGGUUGGUAGGGUGUGAGGCCGCAAACAAGAGUGUGUGGCCGCACACUCAAGUGUAUGGUCGCACACUCCAUGUGUUGGAGUGUUUGGCCCGGUUUUCAUUCCUACACUUCAAGUUAACCCUUUUUAACACUCCUACCUUAAUUAUAUCACAUUUAGAACGCUUCAUUAGACUCUAAAGGGUACUACCAUAUAGUAAAAUAAGUCUAAUAUUGGAAAGAAUUGAAGAGUGCAUGCGAGAAGUUUUUCGGGUUGUCACAUCAUCCCCCUGUUAAGGGAAUUUCGUCCCGAAAUUUGAGUUUAAGUUACUACAUUAUUACAAAUAACUAAGUAAAAAGAUGAGGAUAUUUCAGUUUCAUCUGAUCCUCGCGUUCCCAAGUGAAUUCCGGCCCGCGCUUGGUGUUCCAGCGAACCUUCACAAUUGGGAUACGACUUUGCUUCGUCUGCUUGACCUCUCGGUCCAUGGCUUCUACGGCUUCUUCCAUGAAGUUGAGGCUCUCGUUGAUCUUGAUCUCGUCGAGUGGGAUUACAAGAGUCUCGUCGAAUAUACACUUUUUCAAAUUGGAAACGUGGAAUGUAGAAUGUACGUUACGAAGUUCGUUCGGUAGAUUAUGUUUGUAAGCCACUGGGCCGAUUCUUCCGAGAAUCUCGAAAGGCCCAAUGUACCUUGGAUUUAGCUUUCCAUGCUUUCCGAAGCGUAUCAAGCCCUUCCAGGGUGAGACCUUCAAUAAAACGCGGUCUCCCACCUGGAAUUCCAAUGGUUAUCUACGUUUAUUGGUGUAGCUUUUCUGUUGGUCUCUAGAGGCUUUCAAUCGUUCACGGAUCUGAACGAUCUUCUCCGUCGUUUCCCGAAUGAUUUCCGGACCUGUGAGAGUACUGUCAGAAGCUUGACCCUUAGCUAAUUGGGUAUCACCCACCUCAGCCCAACACAUAGGGGAUCUGCACUUUCGGCCGUAGAGGGCUUCAAAUGGAGCAGCCUUCAUGCUCGUGUUAUAACUGUUAUUAUAGGAAAACUCGACAAGGGGUAAAUGAGUAUCCUAUGCCUUUCCGAAGUCAAUCACACAGGCUCUCAACAUAUCUUCCAGUGUUUGGAUGGUCCUCUCACUUUGUCCGUGGGUCUGUGGAUGGUAGGCUGUGCUCAUGUCCAGCCUUGUUCCCAGGGAAUGUUGUCAUGAUUGCCAGAAUCUUGAGGUGAAUCUACUAUCUCUAUCGGAGAUAAUGGAUAUAGGAACACCAUGAAGUCGCACGAUUUCCUUAAUGUAUGUUCUCGUAAGUUUCUCCAUCUUAUCGGUUUCUUUGAUAGGCAGGAAGUGUGCAGACUUGGUCAAUCUAUCGACGAUGACCCAUAUGGUAUCAAGUCCACCCGUUGUCUUGGGCAACUUGGUUAUGAAAUCCAUAGUGAUCCGCUCCCACAUCCAUUUUGGGAUCUCUGGUUGUUGCAGUAAACCAGAGGGUUUCUGGUACUCGACCUUGACCUUUGCGCAAGUAAGGCAUUUACUUAUGAAGGUAGCAAUCUCUGCUUUCAUAAUAGGCCACCAGUAUAGCUUUUUAAGAUCCAGAUACAUCUUAUCUGAACCUGGGUGGACGGAAUACCGAGUAUUGUGCACCUCGGUCAUGACCAAGUCUCGGAAACCACCGUGCUUCGGGGUCCAGAUCCGGUCCAUGAAAUAUAGGGCUCCGUCACCCUCGGCUUCUAAGUUCUUAUCCAUUCCUCUGAGGGAUUCACUCGCCACAUGUUCAGGUUUCAUAGCUUCAAGUUGAGCCGCCUGAAUUUGUUUAGACAAGUGCGAAUGGAUAGUCAUCGUCAAAGACUUGACUCUUCGACCAUAAUAUUCCUUCCGACUUAGGGUGUCUGCUACUACGUUGGCUUUACCCGGAUGAUAACGAAUGUCGCAUUCAUAGUCGUUGAGUAGCUCGACCCACCGUCAUUGUCUCAUGUUGAGCUCCUUCUGAUCGAAUAUGUGUUGUAAACUCUUGUGGUCGGUAAAAAUAGUGCUUUUUGUGCCAUACAAGUAAUGUCUCCAGAUCUUCAGGGCAAACACAACUGCCCCCAGCUCAAGAUCAUGUGUGGUGUAGUUGACUUCGUGUGUCUUCAGCUGUCUCGAGGCGUAGGCGAUGACCUUACCCCGUUGCAUCAGGACACAACCGAGCCCUUGGUUUGACGCAUCGCAAUAGACCACGAAGUCUUCUAUCCCUUCGGGUAGGGAUAGUAUUGGUGCGGUGCACAAGGCUCGCUUGAGCGUUUGAAAUGCUCUCUCUUGCUUCUCUUCCCAGUCGAAGGCCACGCCCUUCUGGGUCAGUGUUGUAAGAGGUUUUGCAAUACUGGAGAAGUUCUGUAUGAAUCUGCGGUAGUAGCCAGCAAGACCUAGAAAUUGACGAAUUUCUGUAGGCGUCUUUGGUGCUGACCAGUUCUCAAUAGCCUUAAUUUUGGAUGGAUCCACGUGGAUUCCCUCUUCGCUUACCACAUGUCCUAAGAAUUCGACUCUUCGGAUCCAAAAUUCACAUUUCGAGAACUUCGCAUCGAGCUUCUCCGUUCGUAAAAUUCUUAAGACCUGUCGUAGGUGAUUGCCAUGCUCUUCCUUACUCCAGGAGUAGAUCAAAAUGUCAUCGAUGAAUACAAUUACGAACUGAUCCAAGUAAGGUCGGCAUACUCGAUUCAUCAGAUCCAUGAAAACUGCGGGCACAUUGGUCAAUCCGAAUGGCAUCACCACGAACUCGUAGUGUCCGUAACGAGUCCGGAAGGCUGUCUUCGGAACAUCCUCCUCUAGCACUCGUAACUGGUGAUAUCCGGAUCUCAGAUCAAUUUUGGAAAAAUAGUUCGCCCCUUGCAGUUGGUCAAAUAGAUCGUCUAUGCGAGGCAGAGGGUAACGAUUUUUGACCGUCAGUUUGUUGAGUUCCCUGUAGUCGAUACACAUACGGAAUGAUCCGUCUUUCUUCUUAACAAACAAGACUGGUGCUCCCCAAGGCGAGAAGCUUGGUCUUAUGAAGCCCUUGCUGAGCAGUUCGUUAAGUUGACCAGAUAAUUCCUGCAUCUCUGCUGGUGCUAAUCGGUAGGGCGACUUAGCUACUGGGGUAGCUCCUGGAAUUAAGUCGAUUCUGAACUCGACCUGUCGUUGCGGAGGUAAACCUGGUAGCUCUUCUGGGAAAAUGUCGGGGAAGUCGCUCACUACUGGGAUGUUCUUUAGUUCUUUCGUUUCGAGGCUUGUAUCGACAAUGUGAGCAAGGAAUGCACGAUAUUCCUUACGUAGAUACUUUUGUGCUUGAAUAAUUGAAAUAAUACGAAGACUUCUACUGGGUUUGUAACCGUAGACUAUGAGAGUUUCGUUAGACGGGAGGUUUAGACGGAUUGCUUUCUCGAAGCACAUGAUGUCGGCGCGAUGAAGACUCAACCAAUCCAUGCCGAUGAUAACGUCGAAACUUUUAAUGGAAACCGGCAUGAGGUCGAUUGGAAAUGAAUGGUUAUCUAGAGUUAAGGUACAACCUAAGUAUAUGCUCUUGGUGCUUUCAGUUUUCCCAUUAGCCAUUUCUACCGUGAAUUGUUCUUUAAGUGCGUGAGGUUGAUGUUUAAGUAUGUGAGCAAAUUUAUGGUUCACGAAACUUCGCUCCGCUCCACUAUCGAACAGAAUGCACGCAUAGGAGUUAUCGAGGAGGAACGUACCAGUCACCACCGUCGGUUCAGCAACUGCUUCCUCAUGGCUUAUUGCCAGAACUCUCCCCGAUCCACCUGCAUUCUUUGCUUUGGGACAGUCCUUCUUGUAGUGGCCUGCUUCACCACAUCCAUAGCAGGUUGGGCUCGCGCCUGAGCCAGGGACUUGGGUGAUCGGUCUUGCUGGAGACCUAUAGAAAUGGACAGUGUGUCCUUUCUUGUCGCAGUUAGAACACUGCAUUUCACGGUUGGGGCCGUUGUGGUGGAAGUUGCAUUUGUUGCACUUAGGCAAACUUCCUGCAUACUGCUUCACCAGAGCAGUAGCAGCAGUAGGGGUUAUUGCAGCAUGUACAACCACAAUUUGCUGCUUUUUGGCAGCUCGCUGCUUCUUCUUGUCAUUCCAGAACUUCCGCUUGGAGCCAACGGGUUUGGAGGGUUCUGGGAUGGCUAGGGUUGUUGUCACUGUUGGGGAUUGAAUUCCAUGGUCAACGAGUCGAUGUGCCAGUCACUUGGCACUGUCGAAAGUAGUGGGGUUUGAUGAUAGAACAUUUCCUUGGUACGAAGGCACCAGCCCCCAGAUGCACCUUUCAAUCUUUUUCCCUUCAGUGGGAACCAUAUUGGGGCAGAGAGCCACCAGUUCACUAAAUCUGGCGGUGUAAGCGACCACGUCGGUGCCCUUCAUGGUCAGGCUCCAAAGUUCCUGUUCCAAUUUCUGGAUUUCGCCCCUCAGGCAAUACUGCUCAAUCAUGAGGUCUUUCAUUGUUUCCCAGCCUAUGUCGUUGGCUCCGACGAGAGUUAGAGCUUUAACGUGGCCGUUCCACCACGUCAGGGCCUUUCCUUUAAAGGUGCAUGCUGCAUAUUUGACUUUGCUCGCAGCAGGGCAUGAACAAAUUUCGAAGACCGAUUCAGUCUUCUCGAACCAUUGCGAGAGGGCAAUGACUCCGCCGGUUCCAUAAAAGGAUUUCGGCUUACAGUUGGUGAAAUCCUUGUAGGAGCAUUCUCUCGCGCGCACAUGGAUCUUAGCAUGUGUAGAUUCAAUAGGGGUUCCACCUUGGCUGUUGUUAGUUGAGUGAUAUUGAGCCAUGGCAGUUGCCACUACCGCAGCUACUGCAACAUUUAAAGGCGCGGUAUCGAUGACAGGAGGAGGAGGUGGUGGAGGCACAGGGUUAUUCCGGGGAGAUUUGCGAGGAGGCAUCUUUCAGCUAUAAGUUUAUAAAGACAGAUACAAUGGUAAGAAUCAAUUGUAAGCAAGUUGAGAGUGACACAUGGACUAAAUAGCCAUAGUCCAACAGUUGAAUGAACGUAUGAAUUGAAUUCACAAUAGGGAAGAAUAGUAGGAAAAACGCAAGUAUAUAGAUUUUCUCACAGAUUAGCUAGCUGUCAAUAUUACUGGUAUUAUUGAUGUAAUGGGUUCAGGGGAAAAAUCGACCUAACAGUAGGUCUUACAUCAUACCAUACAGAAAAGUUUGACAGUUACUAGAUUCCUAGUUAGCGUACUGAGAGUUAGGAAUAUUUUACAAACAAGCGUUACCAAAAGUCUAGAUACUAAAGGCUAUUCCUUAAUCAAAAGACAAAGAUUUACUAGACAUCUUCUAACGACGACGAGAAUUCCUAGGGCGAAUCCUCAUAUCUGCCAGUUGGCAAACCACUUCUUGAAGGUGUCGUUUGUGAGCUCUUUGGCGAACUCGAAGUUCUACGAUUUCGGUGGUUAAUUGCUGUCGUAGUGUGUCAUUGGUUCUCCUCGUCCCUUCGAGCGCUUCUUCUAGAUGCCGAAUACGGACGGUAUUAACGCCUGAGUUGGCAUCAAUUUCCAUGACUCGGUCGAUGACUGCUCGACCUUGUUCGACAUUUCGAGCAAUUCUACGCACCAUGACAGGCAGAGCUCUAUCCGCAGAACCACCUACGCUAACGUUGUAAAAGGUUCGGUCCCUAAAGUAAGGUAAAGUUUGACCUUGCUUGUCGCUCCAGUGAUUCAAGUUGUUUACCCACAAAGGAGUGGGACCUGGAUAUGCUGGUCGGGGAUCGUUAUUUGGGGCUUGACCUAUGGGAGGUAGAUUGUUGACUUCCGGAUCGGAGUCGGAUCCGUCAGAAAAGCCUUCUGCGAGGUGAUCAUCCAAAGGGAUUGGAUGCUCAUCUUCGGGCUCUUCUUCGAUCCACCCUGCAUUGCCUUCAUCUGGAAAGUACGGGUCGCCGUGAUGGAAUCCAACCAUUUAAAUCUACACGAGAGGAGAGGUAUAAGAAUAUAGUAUAUAUGUAGCUAGUAGUACAAAAUACACCUAUAGUAUUUUAAGUUUAGGCUCUACUGAUCUUAUUGUGGUAUUGUUGGUAAGUUUUUAGACUUGUUAACACAUCACAACCAUUCUAGGGCAUAUGCUAAUCACUCCUCGGACCAACAUAGUUGAUCAGGCUAUGCCAUUCCCAAGACUGACCAUACAUCCCCAAGAUUACCUGUGAUAUUUAACAAUCGUGAUACUUUUGUUCUUGUCAUUGUGACACUAAUUUUAGUAUGAAUGCAGUCUAGUAUACUUAAUUAAAUAUUUUUGGUAUUUAAUGUAUAGACUCUCGGUCAGAGUGUUUUAAUCCCAAAUGGGUUUAUAGUUUAGUAUAUCUUUUAUGGGUUUAUAUACUUAAUUCACUAUAAACAAUGCUCUGAUACCAAUCUGUCACACCCCAAAACCGAGAACGGCGGAAACGUUCUGGGGCGGAGGACGUCAUGUAAAGUAUCAAAACACAGUAAUAGUAAACAAGCAAACAACAUCAUCCAUUGCAUUAAAUAUAUAAUUUUAACACAAGUGUGUUCUGUACACUAUAGACACCAAAAAUAAUGUAAGUCAAAAUAUAGAGAUGAAUCCUGUAUGUGCUCCAUCUUCUCAAAAGCUGGUCUCGGUACCUGUCUACUGAUGACCUGAGAAUACAAGUUAUUUUGAAAGAGUUUAUCAGCAUUAAGCUGGUGAGUUCAUAAGUAUUUUAGUGUUGGUGUUUGUUAUCAAAACGUUUGGACAUGUCUCAAGUGUAAGUUUGUAAAACGUAUGUAAAUGUUUGUAAAAGUUUGAAUCUCUCAGAAAAACCUAUAUUUUCUAUUAAAGUAGCCUUUUACCAAGGCAUAACUGUUUUGUAUGCUCGUUUGUUGUAAAAGUCUGUAGUUUCCCAAGUGUAACUAUCAUUAACAAAAUAUAGUUUGUACAUAAAUGUUUAAGUGAAAUAAUCACUAAAUGUAUAUAAUGGGUAAAUUAAUGUAGUACUGUAGUGUUUUAUUAUAGGAACUACUGUUGUACUAACAACCUUAAACCGAAUUUAUAUUAAGGUAUCAUGUGAUUUAUUGUACCAUACUAUCGACUGAGUAACAACGACAAAUGUAGGUCGUAAAAAGGUAUGACGUUUAGCACCCGCAGACCUGCAGGUCAGGCUGUAGCUAGCAGUAAGGUGAAGGAUAGUCAAUCCAGUAUAGAUCUAUACGUAAACUCACGCUUUCCCUCCAGGAGAUUUUGGUUACAACUCGGACCAUGACAUUUAAGGCAUGCUCCGAUACAGUGGAUCACAUUUAUGUAAGUGUAUGUAUGUAUAUGUAUAUGUAUUGUUCCUGUUCUAGUAUCGUUGUAUAUGUUCUGUUUCUAGAUAGUUGUAUAUGUUUUCCUUCUAGUAUAGUUGUAUGUGUUCUCAUAGUAAUAUCAUGUAAAUGUUCUCGUAGUAAUGUAAUGUAUAUGUUCUCGUAGUAAUGUAAUGUAUAUGUUUUCAUAGUAAUAAGUAUUGACUCGUUAAUGAACUGACUUAUUGAUCUAGCAAAAGUAUAAGUGUAAUCCUAUGUUACCCCGAUGGUAACUUACUAAUGAUGUAACUGAUACGCAUGAAUAUGGAAGUACUUUUAUGUCUAUAUAUGCACAUAUGAUAUAUAAUUAAUAUUGAAACGACCCUCAGACGGAUACCCGACAUCCCACCAAACCACAUCCAAAUCGAGGAAAAGGAAAUACGGCGGGUGGCCUUCCUAAGCCUUUUAAACAUUUCUUAUAUGUCUAUGCAUAUAUGGACAUGCAAUUUAUAAGAAGUAUAAUAGAGUUUAAAUAAAAUUAUUUGAUAAGUAAAAGAGUUUGUAAAACAUUUUGAAGUAAAACAGUUUGAUAAACAUUUUGAAACAGUGAUGAAAUCAUUGGUUUGGUACUUAUUAAUCACAUGUGAUUGAUGUAAUAACUAUAAGUAUUCAACUUGCAUCCCCCCAUAAGAGUAUUUAAAACAUUUAAAAGUAUUUCAAAGGUUAAUUUAAAGGGGUAUAAACUCACCUGUAGUAAGUGGUUCUGAUGACAACGUUGGAUUAGAUGCUAGGUGUCAAGUGGUGACUUGAGAACACGCGCGAAUCCUAUUUAACAUAUAUUGGCACAUAUAUGGAUUUAAUUAGUGUUAUGAAUAACUAAUUGAUGAUUUUGGGACCACCUUAGGGACUAGUAAACACUUAUAAUGAAGUGUUAUAAUCAUAUAUGAUUGUAUGAGGGUUUAUAAGGCUAUACAACAGGGUGUAUGGCCAAAAUAUACACUAUGUGUGUGUGUGCGGCCAGGUGUGCAGCCUAGUGUGCUGCCAGCACAUGUGUGAGACCCUGUGUGUAGCCAUGUGUGCUGCAAGGUGGUGUGUGCUGCCAUUUGUGCGGCCAGAUGAAGAUCUUGGUGUUCUCGGUGUUCUUGGUACCUUUUAUGAAGAUCUUCAAGGAGAAUGGAUAAUUCUUGAAAGGAUUUUCGUGUUCUAUGCUUGAAGAAGUGAAGUAAGGGUUCAAGAAUGAUCUAAGUGUGGAAUAUAUAGGUGGAGUGUGCGGUUGGUAAGGUGUGAGGCUGCAAAUAAUAGUGUGUGGCCACACACUCCAUGUGUUGGAGUGUUUGGCCCAGUUUUCAUUCCUACACUUCGAGUUAACUCUUUUUAACACUCCUACCUUAAGUAUAUCACAUUUAGAACGCUUCAUUAGACUCUAAAGGGUACUACCAUAUAGUAAAAUAACUCUAAUAUUGGAAAGAAUUGAAGAGUGCAUGCAAGAAGUUUUUCGGGUUGUCACACUUGGCCAAGCUGAGACUAAGUUGAUGUGUUCACUUGUAGUCUGUUGUCAGUCGUCAUAAAUCGGAAAUCGGGAAACAACACAUAGACAGAGAGAAUUAUUUAAAUCCAUGUCUCAGUCUAUACGAUAUCUAGAAUGGAGGAAUAUGUGAUCCCUUAUCUAAAGGACACGCUUCUGAUAUGACCAGAGUUGACAGCGGCUUUUGAAAGCUACGAUUGCAGAUCAGGAUCUGAAGUCAUACGCAAAAUUGUUAUUAGACUUAUCCAAGUGGGAGACUGUUGGAUUAGUGUAUAACUCCAUAACUAUUUUGGUAUGUACUUGACCCGAUGGUGCAUGGUCCUUUUGGGUUGCCUUCACCAAAGCAACUUGAUAGGAUGAAUUAUGGAGAGAGAGAAGUAAUUAUGAUUUAUUAAUAUAUUAUGAGAAUAAUAUAUUAAAGGAGAAAUCAUAUUGUUUAAUUAAUAUUAGUCAAUAAUUAAUUAAAAAUUAAUUUUUUGGCUAAAAGCCAUUAAUUAAAUAAUGGGGACUAGAACUGUCAAUUGUGUGAUAGUUGAAUAUUGGGCUAAUGGACUCCAUAGAGGAUGGAGUGGACAAAUUCUAUGGGAAAACCCAUUAGAAAUUGUCCAAGGCCUCUAAGGAAGGAGUCCAUGGGUGGCUUACGGCCUAAGCAGUCAAAUUAGGGUUUCCUUGUUAGAUAACCCUAAUAGCCUCAAUAUUCUUCAUCCUCUUGCUCUUGGUGUUUGUGAGCCAUUAGAGGACUGACACUUGUGACUUUAUGCUUUCUAAAGCCAAAUACAAGGAGGAUUUGAAAUUGUUAUUACUACAUGACAAUCAAGGUAUGAUCUAAACCCUAAUCCGUAUAUUAAUAUCGUUAUUGUAUGCUAGAUCUAGGGUUUAAAGUCUUGGAUGAAUGCAUGUACAAUAGAGAAACCUAGAUCCAAGCAUUACAGUUUUCAUGAGCACAAAGGAUGUUCUUAUAUCCAUAACCCAUCAGUUAAAUCAUACACAACAACACGUUUCAUAACAUCAAGUUAAUGAUGCUUUUCGUACUAUCAAUGCACAACCAACUUAUAGUCAAUCACUCAUAUAUCUUGGUUUGAAGAUUAUAUGAUAUUAUCAUCUCACGAUCACUCGUUAUAAAUUCCAUGAAGUGAUUCACGUGAGCAUGGGUUUAAUCCAAUACUUAAAUCUUAUUUUAGGAGCACUCAUUAAUGUUGUAGCACAUUUUUGCUAUGUCUAAACACUUUAGACAAUCUAGAAGCCAAAUUCAUGACAGUAUUGCCUUAAUACCUACUUCCAAAGUAUGAACGAUUAUGGAUAGUUUGAAUAAUCUUAUUCUUUUGGAAGUCAAAACAUGCAAAAGGAAACAUUAGUAAACAGUUGACACAAGAUAGUAACUUUACUCAUAAAUAAAACUCCUUUUAUUUAAUCAUGAAAGGUCAAAUCCAUUUUAUCUGCUACAUGUUUCUAAAGAACUAUUUAAUCAUUAUAACUAAUAUGGUCCUUCAGCCCAAUGUUCCUCACAUGUUGCAAGUUCUUAACCCUAGUUAGUCGCUUUGUAAAGGGAUCUGUUGGGUUCUAUUUUGACUAUACCCUCUUUAAUAUGAGGAGUCAUUCUUCCAACCGAUGUCUUACGAAGUGAUAUUUUCUAUCGAUGUGUCUAGAUCUGCCAUGAUCCCUUGGUUCCUUGGUUAAGGCGACCGCAUCCUCGUUGCCACAGAAAAUUUCCAUAAGCUCCUUUACAGCUGGUACAACUCCAAGGUCUCCAAUGAAGUUCUUCAGCCAUAUCACCUUCUUCGAUGCUUUGCUUGUUGCAAUGUACUCUGAUUCACACAUUGAAUAAGUUAUACUGUCCUGUUUUGAACUUUUCCAAGUUAUUGCUCCUCUGUUCAGAGUAAAUAGCCAGCUGGACUGAGAGCAUAAAUUAUCUCUAUUGGUUUGAAAGUCAGCGUCACUAUACCCUGUCACUCUUAAGUCAUAACUCCCGUAGGUAAUUAAGAAUGUUCUUUAUCAUAGUCCAGUGAGCUUUACCAGGAUUCCCUUGAUAUGUGUUGACCAUGCUCAAAGCAAAGGCCACAGCAGGGCGAGUACAAGUCACAACAUACCUGACUGAGCCAACUACGGAAGCAUAUGGUACUCAACUCAUCUCUGCUAUCUCAGCCUCUGUACUCAGACUUUGUGUCUUACUCAGUUUGGUAUUGCUUUGGAUAGGUAAGUCACCUUUCUUGGAAUUUUCCAUGUUGAAACACUUCAACACAUUGUCUAAGUUGGUACUUUGACUAAGUCCUAUUUGUCUUUUACUCCUGUUUCUCAAUAUCCUUAUCCCUAGAAUAUAUUCAAGUUCCCCGAGGUCCUUCAUUGAGAAACACAUCCCAAACCAGGACUUAACCUCCUGCAAGGUUGGGAUGUCAUUUCCUAUGAGAAGUAUGUCAUCCACAUACAACACUAGAAAGCUAACUAUACUCCCACUAGCUUUGACAUAUACACAAGACUAAUCCUCGCUUCUUGAAAAUCCAAACUCUUUCACUUUCUCAUCGAAACAAAUAUUCCAUCUAUGAAUGCUUGUUUCAAUCCAUUAAUAGAUAUCUCAAGCUUACACACUCUAUAAGGGUACUUUGCAUUGAAAAAAACCCUUUGGUUGACUCAUGUAAACAUCUUCAGCCAACUUUCCAUUAAUGAAAGUGGUUUUGACAUCCAUUUUCCAUAUUUCAUAAUCAUGAAAUGCAGCUAUGGCUAGCAUAACCCUUAUAGAUUUAAUCUUCGUCGACGAGAAGGUCUCAUCAUAGUCAACUCCAUGAGUUUGAGUAAAGCCCUUCGCAACCAUUCGCACCUUAUAUGUGUGUACUUUCCCAUCGAUGUUGGUCUUCUUCUUGAAUAUCCAUUUGCACCCGACCGUCUUACGACCUGGUACAUUCUCAACCAAGUUCCAAACUUCAUUUUCAUACAUGGACUGAAUAUCGCUAUCCAUAGCCAGUUCCCAUAGUGUUCACCAUCGUUAUGCAAAAGAGGAAGUUGCCAAAUUAAAUGUCGAACUUGAUGCAUUACAAGCUAAAUUUAAAGAUGCUUAAUUUAACUUUAAUAAAUUUGAUGUGUCAAGUGAGAUAGUCGAAUAUAUGAUAGAAAAACAAUUGAAAUGGAAAGAUAACCAAAAAAAUGGCUUAGGGUAUCAUAGUGUUCCACCUCUUUUUAAUGAUAAUUUUGUUUCUGUCACUAAGACUAUAGAAAUAGAAAAAACUGUCCAAUAUGGCCAGCCCCAUGUAUCAACUUCAGUUGAGACUAAACAAUCUGAGUCUACUAAAAGUGUUCAGGUGAACGAUACUGACGUCUCUACCUCAUGUGCAGAUCAAGUAUUAGCGGAAUAUGAGGACAAGGGGACAUUAAUAAUGCUAGCUCUGUUCAACACCUUUCGAAGCCUAAUGUUUAUAUUUCUUCUGUUUCAAAUAAUUAUGUGAACAAAGAUAUUAAAAAUGUUGCUUUAGAUUCUUUUAAAAAUUUGGGUGAUGUUGCUUUUCAUUCAAAUUCAAAUAGUAUUGUUUUUGAAAAAUUUAAGCCACGUAAAGUUGUGAAAGAGUCUGAUAAAUGUAAAUGUGUGUGUGGAAAUUGUUUCAAACAAGACUCUUUUGGGCUAGGACCAAGCUCAAAUAACACUUUUUUGAAAAAUAGAUUUGUUUUGAUUGUGGUACUACAGGUCACAUUGCUAGAAACCAUCCACAUCAUUCAUAUGCUCCUUUCUCUAAAUUUAGAUGGACGAACGUGCCAAGGGCAAGAUCUUCCAAAAGAAAUCCUUCGAGGUCAAAUCCCCUCAAUAACAAUUGGAAUGAUGACAAGGCCAAGACUAAGGCCUUCAAUGACGAAACGAAAACUGACUCGAGAGAUGGCUUAACCAAACCGAAUCAGGUAAAAUUAAAGUCAUCUUAAGGGCCGUCCUCUAGCUCAUACUUACAAUACAAGCCUAAGUCAAAAUGUAGUCCCACCCCAAAAGCAUGCGAAAAAUGUCCCAUUCGGUCCAACAGGAAAGUAGACAAACUUACCAAUAGGUACCAAAAGUCCUUUCUUCCAAAUCAUCAAUUGGUCCAAAAAGGACUUCACAUUCUUUGAAAUAAGUAUUUGAUAAACAAGAUGCGACAUGUGAAAGAGUAUCUUGAGUUAAUAGUAAUGGUCAACCCAGUUUCAAGAUGGACUGGGUUCCCAAAACUAAUUAAUCCCGCAACUUGUGCAGGAACAACUAUGGAGGAAUAUCAUCAGAUCUUGGUAUCUUGAUAGUGGUUGUUCCAGGCACAUGAUAGGAUACAUAUCCCAAUCGCAUGACAUUCAAAACAUUAAUGGUGGUCAUGAGUGCUUUGUGGGAGGACAAAAGGGAAAGAUCACUCAAAUGGUGACCAUUACAAAUGGUGUGUUGAAUUUUGAAAAUGUCAACUUCGUUCCUAAAUUGAAACAUAGUUUGUUAACUGUCUCUCAAAUCUGCGAUAGAGACUUCUCAACUCAUUUCACCAAGAAGGAGUGCUUAAUUCUAAAGCUUGGUAUCGUCAUACCAGAAGAAUGGAUCUUAGUGAGAUCAAAACGUCAAAACAACGCCUAUAUCAUCGACAUGAAUGACAACAUCCCAGAGAAUGUUACUUUCCUGUUCUCAAAGACUUCUGAAUAGAAUGCUAUACUAUGACAUCGUCUCCUCGUCACACAAACGCAAAGAAUCUAAAUUGUCUUGCCAAAAAUGAUCUUGUUUGCGGGUUGGCUAUCAAAGAUUUUGUCACCUUCGAGAAUUAUGUGGCCUGUGCAUAGGGAAAGCAUCAUCAAAAACCGCACAAGCUAAAACUAGCUAAAUUAAUCGACAAACUUCUUCAAUUACUUCACAUAGAUCUCUUUGGACCAGUUAAUGUUCUUAGCAUUCACAAAAGCUCGUACUGUCUAGUUAUAAAAGAUGAUUACUCAUGUUUUACCUAGGUAUUCUUUCUAAAGAAUAAGAGUGAGACUACAAAGUUGAUCAAGAGGUUCAUCGUCCUGAUUGAGAAUCAGACCAAUUAGAAGCUAAAAGGUAUCCAAUGUUACAAUGAGACAGAAUUCAAGAGUGUUAUUAUGCACCGUUUUUGUGCUAAAAGGAGGAGUAACAUCAAUACAAUACUACUCACAUACCACAGCAAAACGGUGUUGCUGAGAGAAGGAAUAGAACCCUAACUGACGCUGCAAGAACAAUGAUGUGUGACUCAAAAUUACCGGUUUUCUUUUGGUUUGACGCUAUGAAUACGACAUGUUAUAUUCAGAACUGGAUCCUAAUCAACAAACAUCACAUGAAGACUUCGUAUAAAAUCGUCUACAGUCACAAACCAACAGUCGCUCAUUUCCGCACUUUUGGAUAUCCAUCCACUCUUCUUCAUCUCGAAGCCACUCCAAAGUUCAAUUCAAAGGCUGGCGACUGCAACUUCGUCGGGUAUGCUGGACGCACUGCUUAUCGGGUCUACAAUAAAGCUACCAAGCAGGCCACGAAGUCCUGUGAUGUCCGUUGGCUAGAAGAAAAUGAGACAGACGCUCAAGUCGGCCCUGAUUGGUUAUUUGAUUAUGCUAAAUUGUUUAAACCAUUUUAUGUGUUUUCUAAUAAUGUUUCAGGUACCCAUCCAAACUCGUAUGGAUCAAGUAAGGAUGAUGAAGAAGAAGUGAUCAUUACUGAACCUAUCAAACCAUUGAUACUACAGGAUGAAUCCUCAAGCUUGAAUGAUGGCACUCCGGAUCCCCAACCAAUAGAUGAUGACGCACCUGUUGAUUCUACAAAAAGGGCUGGCAAUUCACUGGUUCUGGAGGAAAAUGUCACCUCUACAGAAAAUGUCACCUCCGACUCUGCAGAAACUUUUGAUUCUACUUUUACAUAUUUUCUCUUUCCUGAGAUAGUUCUUGAUGAGUAUGUGGCGAUUAUUUCGUACAACUUCCGAUCAUUGGAUAGAAGUGAUUCAGCCACAGGCAGGGUAGAGAACAUCACGAAUCUUCCAUUCUCUUCAAAAGUGGUGGAUCAUGAGAUUGCUUCAAGGGUUCAACGCAACCAUCCCAUAAAAAAUAUUAUAGGUUCCCUGGCGGAUGGAGUCAAAACUAGAAGCCAGAGCGGAUAUGUUAAUUAAUGUCUAUUUUCGUGCUUCAUAUCCCAAAUCGAGCUAAAGAACAUUGAGAUGGCUCCUAAUGAACCAAUUUGGGUGGAUGCUAUGCAUGAAGAGUUGAAUCAAUUUGAGAAGCUGGAUGUUUGGCAACUGGUAGAACUUCUUGAAGGAAUGAAGUCUCUUGACACAAGAUGGGUUUUUCACAAUAAGCAAUAUGAUAGCGGGGUGAUUGUGUGAAGCAAGGUGCAUCUGGUUGUUCGUGAUUUUAGACAAAUAGAUGGUCUUGCUUACACAGAGGUAUAUGCUCCUGUGGCUCGACCAGUUUUCACUGUAUAUCAGAUAGAUGUCAAAACUGCCUUCCUGUACGGAGAAGUAAAAAAGGAAAUCUACGUUGAUCAACCCCCAGGUUUUGUCAACUCAAAAUUUCCAAAUCAUGUGUACAAGCUAGACAAGGAACUUAAUGGUCUUCAUCAAGCCCCUCGAGCUUGCUAUGCCAAUUUGACCGAGCAUAUAUUAACUCAUGGGUACAUAAGAGGCAUGAUUGAUCAGACGUUGUUCAUCAAAAGACUGAUGAAAGACCUUAUUAUUUUUCAAAUAUAUGUGGAUGAUAUCGUUUUUGGGUCAACAAAUGAGGAACUAUGCAAAGAUUUUGAAAAGUUUAUGAAGAUGAGGUUUGAGAUGAGUUCUCUAGGCAAAAUGACGAUGUUUCUAGGAUUGCAAGAGCAUUAGGAUUCUUCGAGCAUUCUACUACAUCAAGGCAAAGAUGUUGAUGACAUUUUGGAGAAAUUCGGGUUCAAGGAUGCUAAAAUUGCUUCUACUCCCAUGGUUGAGCGAUCUUUGUUGACAUCAUAUCCGGAUGGAGAAUCGGUUUAUCAAACUUUAUAUCGAUCCAUGAUUGGUUCUCUGAUGUAUAUGACUACUAGCAGACCAUAUAUACUCUUUGCAGUCUGUCAAUGCACGCCUCAUCAGGCUAAUCCUAAACUUUCUCAUUUAAUUACUAUCAAACGAAUUUUUAGGUACCUUAAAGGAAGAUCUAAAUUGGGUCUCUGGUAUCCUAAAAAUCAUGAAUUUAAUCUUUAUGAUUUUACUGACAGUAACUAUGGAGGUUGUGACAUUGACAGGAAACCUACAAGUGCUGGUUGUAAGUUCUUGGGAGAUAGAUUGAUCGCAUUGUAGUGCAAGAAACAACAAACUGUGUCCACUUCUACAACUGAGGCUAGUACGUUGCUACAUAUGCUUGUUGUUCUUAGUUCAUCUGGAUGCAAUAUUAAAUGUUGGAUGAUGGCAUGAAUUUUCUUGACAUUCCUAUCUUCUGUGAUAAUGAUGUUGCUAUACAAAUUGUUAAAAAUCCAGUUCAGCAUUCUAAAACCUAGCACAUAGAUAUUAAAGUUCAUUUUAUAUGAGAUUGUUUUGAGUGUAAACUUGUUCAUUUGGAACAAAUCCAGAGUAAUAAUAAUGUGGCUGAUUUGUUUACAAAACCUUUUGGAAAAUUUCGUUUUGAUGUGCUUGUGAGUUUUCUUAAAAUGAUUCGUCUUGAAGACUAACAAACUUUCAAAUUUGUUCAUUUUUUCUCCUAUAUGUAUAAAUUUAGGGGGAGAUAAAUUAAAACCAACCAAAAAAACAGAUCAUAAAAUUCCAAAAUUCCAAAAAUAGGUUUACUUAUGUUUUUAUUUCUUUUUCAGAAAACUCAAAAUCAGAAAAUAUUGUAUUGUUUUUUAGUGUGUUUUUAUUUUACUUUUUAUACUUAGUUGUUUAUUGUGUGCUAAGUUUAUUUUAUUUUUUUAUCUCAUAAAAUUUCAAUUGUCUUAAAACAUGAAUUCAAAAGAAAUAGAGACGCAAGGAGACUGUAUCGGAAUUUUCUAUGCUAGGAGAAAAGACCUGGAAAGGAAUUGACAGUCAUUACACUUCACACUACUUUUACUAGGAAUUGAAGGCAUGAAACUGUAAAAAUUGUCAGUGAGGCAAUAUCUCUCUAAGGACUGUCAUAUAUCAGGAAUUGAAAGGUUGAAACUGUACAGAUUGUCAAAAUUGCUCUUGUCUAUUAUCUUUACCUAAGUACUGUCAUGCCACCAUAGUGAUUCACCCAACCAGGAAAUAUAUAUCUCUGAACAUCCCGCCUAGGGUCUUGACAUUCAUUUUGUCAUGCAAAACUGCGGUGACUCAAAUGUAUUCUCGGAUACAUUCUCCACAUAUAAUGAAUUAAUGGUUAUUGGCACUAAGGCGAUGCACCUCGCAAGGCACGAUUAUCACUGAAUAUCCCGCCAAAGGGAUUUGAUCUCGUGUCAUGCUAAACUAUGGAAAUAUGUCUUCAGGUACAUUUGUCACAUGAAUGUUUAUGUGAGUAAUUCCUCAUUAAAUCUCACUAGCACUAGAAUGGUACACUCAGUUGAGAUUCAGAAACCAUUGAACGUCUCGCCAACGGCCAAGUUAACUCGUUAACUUGAAAAACUCUAUUGAGAUCUUUGAUCGAGGAUAUACAGGGGAUAACAUCAAAAAUAGCCACAAGUAGUUCUCCGAUACUCAACAAAUUGCAGUGCGUUCCUCUGUGUUCACGCAGAUACUGCGAGUAUUCUCCAUCUGAGCGAAGGCUAGGUCCUUGAACAAAUUUGGUGAGAAAGUCCUUAUGACUCUGUGAUUCACAUGGACUUUUAGUCAAGGUUACUUUUCCAGACACGUCUAUGAUCGAUCAAGAAUAUUUAUUCGAAGGAACAAGAAGUGAUGAUUAUUUUUCAACACGCAAUUUUUCAACCAUAGAAGCAAGGUGAAGCUAUAUUUGAAGUUAUGUGACGAAUUGCAGUGAAGCCUCCUCAAUCAAUUUGCUUCUAUCUAUUAACCUACUGAACUUAUCCAGAAGAGUCGGUCUCUCUAUAAUUAUCUCUAAAGUAUUUCAAAGCUGAAAGUGUUGAUUUUCAAGAACCUAUACAAGAAGCCUCUAUACCUAAUGUGCGUUCAAAGUCAAAUCUUGAAGGAUGUACAACUAUUCAAGAUGAAGUCACUCAUGUAGAAAUUCAUAUGCUCAUCUUGAAGUCAUGAAGAAAUCGAAGAUAAAAGCUGAAAGUCAAGAAGAAAUAAAAGAUUGAAAGGCAAAGAAAGAUAUUAACCAAGGGGGAGAGAGUUGGGACAUGAUUUGUGGUUUAUACUUUACAUUACUUAGAUUUUAGGGUUCUCGGUCUAGGACCGAAAACACCAUGAAUUUGGUGGUGGUUUGAUCAAAAUCCUUAAGUGAUUACGGUUAGGCUUUGCGUUGGGCCUUUGUAACUAGGUCUAGGUAUAUAUUAUAUUGUUUCAGCCAUGUUCUAGGUUAGUCAUUGUAGUUGUUGAUUUUGAGAAUUGAGAGAGACAGAGAGAACGGAGAGACAUAGAGUCUUAUGUACUAGACUAUUAAUUAAUAUAGUAUGAAUUGAAGAUUAAUCAUUUUGUUCUUAUUUCAUACUUACGAUUUGUGUCAUUCACUUGAUUGGGAUUCCGCACCAAUCUAGUGAUUUGGAUAGAUACCUAAAUCCUGGUUUUACAUAUACUAAUAUAUAUACAAGUAUAUGCCAUAAUUAAAGGGAUUCUAUAUUAUCUACACUAAGAACUGAUCCUUAUCACAUGGAUAUCGAGUCUCUAUCUAUUCUCUAUAUCUCUAUAUUAUUGCCAGUAUACAAAGGAUUACAUAGAAUAAUUGUGCUAAGCAUUGACGUUGAUAGGCUUGAUACGUUAGCACUGACACAUAGCUUGUAGGACUGUUUCACUCAUCAGAUAAUAAGAUGUGACCAUAUAAAUAUAAUAAAAAUAAAAAGCAUAGUUAAGUUUUUCAAAAAUAAUACUAUUUUUACAACUAAAAAGCUUGUAGUUGUUUCUCUCAUCUCUUUUUAAAGUCUUGUAACAUAAAAUUAAAAUAUGAAAAUAAUUCUUGAACCAACACUAGAUAAAAAGUACAACAACAAAUGUUUAAAACUAAAAACCUUCAUGACCACUUCAAUACCAACUUCAAGAAACCUAAACAACUCGGAACAUAUCUUAAUAAACUAUUUUUUUUUAAAAGAGCCUCUUUUCAACAAUUUUGUAGAACUCUAUGUAAAAAUAUUAAGAUUUAUAAAAACUAAGUCAUCAUACAUCGGUCCAAUCUUGUUCAUCGUUGUCUCCAGAACCGCAAGCCAACUUAAAACCAACUGCACAUGUAACAUUGGUUCUCUUGCAAAAAAAUAAAAAUUCCAAAAAAUCCGUUGCAAAAUUUUGUUCUUAUUGAAGGUAUUUGUAAUACUUGGAACUAAUUCCAAUAAACUUUUUGGACGACCCCAUUGGCAUGUAUCCAGUAGGAAUUAACCCUACGAAUCUACCAAUUAUGAGUUGGGUGGCAAUCUAUACUCCUAGGUGAUAGACUUUUCUUUCGAAUAAAAUGAUGAAUCCGCAGUGGUGAAGCAAGCACCCAUGCCGUCUCUUAAACCCCUCCCUACUUUGUAAACAUACAUGUAUACAUAAUAUUUAGUUUUCACUCUUAAUAGAAUUGUCGAAUUUAAACUGAAUAGGAUUGUAGGAACUUGAUUUUAGUUCUUCACUGUUUGUAUGAGGUAGCUUCGACUGUUGUUUAUUAAGGUACAAUCCAACUGUUAUUUCUAGCAGUUAAUUUUUGUUACAUAUAAGAAAUAGCAACUUGCUUCAUAAGCCUCUUCAUUCUAUAUACUUGCACCAAUUCGGCAAACACAUCACUCCCAUCCGCGUAGAGCGCGCGAAAACCCUUCUAGUUUAAUAAUACAUAAUUUUUAUAAUAAAAUCUAAUAUAAAUUUUUAUGUCGUUUUAUAUUUUACUAGUGUUACGAUUAAGUAAUUUAAAAUAAACUUAUUAGUCUUUUUGUUAAUUAUAAUGACUAUUUUAAAUAUUAAAAAGAUAAUAAAAUAUAUUUCUUAUUUUUCAUUUAUAUGUUUUAUUAUGUUAAAUUAUUUAACAUAUAUUUCUUUAGGAAUUCUUGAAUUACUACAUAAAUAGUUUCUGGUAAUCUCUUAGUUAAUUUUCCAUAUGUAUUAAACAUUAAAUUAUAUAUAUUUUAGUUAUUGUAUAAGAUAACUUUCACAUGAACUUUAAAGCUUGUUUCGUAAUUUAAUUUAAAUUUUAUAAAAAUUUAUAUUUAACAUCGUAUUUCUAUCAAUAAAUUUAUUAUAAAUGUAUUUGAUGCAUAGUUUUUGAGAGCUUAUAACUUAUACCGUUUGACAAAUAUUCCGUUUUGAACAAAAAAUUAUGUUUGACACUACAAGCUUUAACAUCUAAUUUAAACAAAAUAUUUCAAAUCUAAAAACCAUCUCCUAUAAUAUAUAACAAAACGAUACCAGCUACUAGUUACUCGACACCGGAAAAUUUUACAGAAUGCGCCUUAUAUGUUAUUAAUAAUUAAAAAGUUAUAAAAUUAAAAUGAUAAUAAUGUCUACAUCUGACAACAUUUUUGAAUUAAUAAAUUAGGCUGAAAAUUGAAGAUUUUGCUUUAAAAAAUAUAAAGGAAGUAUAAUAUACUAAACAAAAUCCAAUUUAUAUGCUUAAUAAUAUGUAUUUUAUAAUGAUAAUCUGUUUUACAAAAUAUAAAGAUAUAGAUGAACCAAAACUAAAUCAAACCACAUUAUCUAUGUAGUGUUACAUGUAACGAUUGCUUUGUGGUUAGUAAUUUUAAUUUAAUGUUGGUGUACACCCUUGCAUGCCAACGAUGAUAAGCUGGAAAAAAUAACUUGGAUGCUUCGUUUUCAAGGAGUUGAUUUUUCUUAUAGAAGUGAUAUUUGGCGGUGUGGAUUAUCUCCCUUGAGAAACUUCUCAGGCCUUCGCUGCGGAAAUAGAUUGAUGCUGGUAAGUUGUGGUAAAAUAGAUACAUUCUGUCUUGGAAUAAAGCAGCCCCUUUAAUGGCUAAUAUUCUACCAUGACACAUUUGGACGAAUCAUAUUCCUACUCGUUAAAACAUGGAUAAAGAGGGUAUUGACUACUCUCUAAAAUUAAUCUUCGAGUUGUUUCUUCAAUCUAUUCAUAUAAAGUUGUUCCCAUUCUAAAAACAUAUUAAUAAUUGUUGUAACUAAUAUUUAAUCCGAAUCAAUAGAUAUCUGUAAUUUCGUAAACACAAUUUUAAGGACACUUGAAUUCAGUAAGCAUUGGUUAAGGCAAUUCCUUGCAAAAGUUAUUAUGGUUAGAUUCCGAAGGGCAAAGUCCCUUAAGUGGUCGUCACAUGAAAGCAAAAGGUGCAUGUAAGGUCUUAUAUAAAUCCCUCCUUUAAAAAGUAAAGUGGUCCAUAAUAUUAGGUCUUAUAGAGUCAUUAGUUUAAUGUGCGGAUUAAGACACACACUAUCGGUUGGUGAUAUAAUAAUAUAUUAGACUUGAUAAGUUUUUUUUAAUCCAACUUGUUUAAUUGUAGGUCGAUUGAAAUAAUGAUUUCUUUUCUAUAUGUAAAAUCUAAAAAUUAACAAAAUAUGAGAAGGUCAAAAUUUGUGUUAAAAUGCUUGCAAUAUCUUAAAUCGGUUUAUUUAAUGUUAAAGGUAACUUGAGAACUGAAGAACUGAAAUGAGAGUUGGAGCAUUUGACAAUUCAACGAAGUAUCUAAAAAUUAACUGGAGUAUCUAGAUAUUCAAUGCGCCAUCUACAAAUCAAUGGAGCAUCUAGAACUCAAUGAAACAUUUAGAAAAUAAUGGAGCAUCAAGAUAUUGAAUAGAAUAUCUAUUAUUCAAUGGAGCAUCUAGAUACUCAAUGAAACACGUUGAAUUCAAUGGAACAUCUAGAUAUUCAACGUAGUAUCUAGAGUUCAAAGAAACAUAUGGAACUGAAUGGAUAAUUUCGAAUAACAAUAGAGCGUCUAGAAACAUAGUGGAACAUUUUGAAUGGGGAUUAAAUAUCUGACCCGAGCAUAAGAAGAAACAACAUGCACAUGAUGCACUACCAAGUGACAAGAUGUGCCACCUUCUAGUCAUGGUGCACAAUCUUGAUCAUCUUGAUGACCUUCUGAGUUUUGAUGUUCGUAUUAUAUACUACUGGAAGGUUGGUUCUCUACCAAAGGACUUGAUACUCCAUCAUGACACAUGAUGUAACAUCCGAAUUACUGAGGUACAUUAGAUUUUGUAAUUUUGGCUUUUUAUGGAUUGCCAUGACGUGGUGAUGAGACAUUACAACGUGGCAAGUCAAGGUCAACCCUCGUGUUCAUUUAAGCUAGCACGACAUGGCAGUAUAUGCCACAACAUGGCAGCUGGCAAAUGAGAAAGCCUAUUUUCAAGGUUUUGCUCCCUAUUUAAAGGAAUGAGGAUGCUAGCGUUAGCUCACCCUUAGCCUCCAUCAGACCUGUGAAACCCUAAUCUCUCUCUCUCUCUGUCUCUCUCUCUCUCUCUCUCUCUCUCUCUCUCUCUUUCCCUCAUUUGGUGCCUUUGUGGUGUUCUUGAAGCCUUGGAAGGAAGAAGGAAGAAGUGUUGGGUAAAACCCCAUGUACGAUUUGAUGAGUAUAAUGCGGAAAAUAAGAUGAACACAAUAAAGAAGAUAUCUCAAAUGAACAAAAUAUUUUAUUCAAGAACUAGAGGAAAUUACACUAUAAGAAAAGAUUAGAGUAAAUCUAUUCUACCUAAGAAACCUCUUUGUGAUUGGCAUCUACAUCUUGCCUAACUCUAAACCCUAAUUAUGAAUAAUACAAGACAAUAUAUAGGGAAUAAAACAAGUCUUGGGCCUAAUAACCUGCACAUCAUCAAGGGGGCCUAUUUUCAUAAUCCAUGGAGUACUUUGAACCCUACAUUCUCUCCCUCAAAGUAUGAAUGGAAGAUAAGGCUUUAACUUCCAAAACAAACAUCUAGGAAAUAAGAAAGGAUCUCGUAACGAGGAAUAUCAAAAGCGAUCCACGAAUUUUGAUUCUUCAAUAGUUUUCAAAACAGGUUCUAGGAUAUAUAAAUGUGAAACAAAGCACCGAAGUAAUGUUUUUAAACUUCAUUUUCUAAUGUAAUCCCAAAGAUCUUCAAGAAAGCCGAACCCUCCAUAAAACCCAAUUUUGGAAUUAAUAAACAAAAUCACUUCUUAUCUUUGAAGAACUCCCAUUCCAAGUCACAAUGAUCUUCAAAUAAGAUAAUGAUAUAAGCCACAAAAAAAUUGUUGGAUUAAGUGUCAUAGCCCAUAACUAUAAUUGGUAUGAACUUGAUUUAAUAGUAGCAUGGUCCUUUUGGGUUGCCUUCACUUUAGCAACUUGACAGGAUGACUUAUGGGGAAAAAGGUUAAUAAAUGAUUUAUUAAUAUAUUAUGAGAAUAAUAUAUUAAUUAGAAAUCAUAUUAUUUAAUUAGUAUUUGAUCAGAAAUUAAUUUGGAAUUAAUUUUGGGAUUAAAGGAACUGAUUAAAAGAAUGGGGACUGUUUUUUAAAUCAUUGAUAGUUGCAAAACUGGGCUGCCAGACUCCUUUUGGAUGGAGUGGAUGAAAUCUAUAGGCAGGCCCUAUAGAAUUCGUCUAAGGCUUCUAGAAGAGGAGGUCCAUAGACUGCUAUUUAAAGACCCUUACACAUAGGGUUUUCGGUCAACGCUUAAGAGUAGAGAAACCCAAGCCAAUUUUCUGCAUAUUCCCUCCUCUCUCCUGUAACCCUCUUGCUACAAGUGUUUGUAAGCCAUUAGAGGUGCAAUAUUUGAGGCACUAUAGCUUUCAAUACUCAAGAUCAAUCAAGGAACUCUUGUUAUUCCUAUAUAACAAGCAAGGUAAUCUUCUUAACCCUCUUUAUAUAUGAAUUUUGAAUUAUAUAUGCUAGAUCUAGGGUUAUUGCUUUUGAAUUUCUUUUGCAUGUUCAAUUAGUGAAAAACUUAGAUCUAAAGCAAUUAGGGUUGCAUGAACACAUAGGAAGUUGUUUUGCUCAUAACCUUUCGGUGGUAUCAAAGCCUAGGAUGCUUUUCAAUUGAAUUUGAUGCAUUUGUGAACCGUCCAAAGCAGAAGAAAAACAGAUUUGCACUCUGUUUGCAGAACUAGAUGAGUUCAAUGAGGAGCUCGACGAGUUGGGAUGACUUGAAGAGUUCAUAGCCUGACUUGAUGAGUUGACUCGUCAGAUAUUUGAUUUUUCGAUUUUCAGAUGUUGUUUGGUUUAGGAUAAUUACCAUAAUUCUUCUUUAAUACCUUAAUUUGAAUUUUCUGAAUGGUAAUCUAAUUUCCUUAUCAAAUAAUAUUGAUUUGGUCAAAUUUUAAGAUAAUGACGAAAAUAUUUUAGUAAUUUAAUGAUUUAAAAUUUGAUCUAGUAAUUGUGAAAAGUGUCAAAUUACAUGCUUUACUUUUGGAAUUUUAAAUUUUAUUAAAAGUUUAAUUUUGAAAUAUUAAAUUCUAAAACCCUAGUAUUUUAAAAGUUUAAACUACACCCUUAUACUAUAUAAUAUUAAAAGUUUAAUAUUAUAUAUGUAUAAGAACAGUCAGUCUUACCGUUAGUAGGCCUCAUUCACGAAGAUUGUUUAUGAGGGACGUUUAAGGAAGCAGCCUAUAAAAUGACCGCCAUUAGGUAUUCAUUCUUACCCACCACACUCUUGACUAAUGGAGGGCCGUUAGCUGAACGCGUAGGAUAGUACAUUAAUCUUCAUUAAUAAGUAUAAUGAUAAAUAUAAAGUAACUACGUUUUUUAUAAAUUCCAAAUCUUAGUAACUUUAAGAAAAUGUGAAUUCGAUGCUAAUCUAUAAAAUUGCACAUUACACUUUGUCAAGUCGUUAGUAGAGUGUGUUUGGUUAACUGACACACUAAAUUAGACUAACAAAGAGUGGCAAUGGGUAUCUCGUAAAUUAUCAUUGAUUAAUGGAGCGUAUGUGGUUAAAUGACAUAUUAAUUUGGUGGUAAAGGACAUCGAGAGUACCAAGCUAAUUUGCAUGGUUAUUCACACGUUGUUUGUGAUCCUCGGUAUCCCAGUCACAAACUUGAAGGGCAUAAUCGAGAUUAAACAUGUCAUUGAAUAGUGAUGAAUCUCAAAAGAUAUAGGAAUUUCAUUUCAUUUAAAACCUAAUUCACUUAAAAUUUCGUUUUUUGUGGUGGAAUUGGUAAAUCGUCAUUUACCUACCUUCAAAUAAUUUACAACUAGAUUACGGCAUCCCUUUUCUGAAUUGUGAAUUAUAUUGUUGGGUCCUAGCCUUAAUAUUUCAUUUUAAGUGUUAUAUUAAGGAUUUCCUAUCUAAUCAAAACUUGUAUUUCUUCUUUUGUAGAUGUCAACCUCAAACAACGCUUCUGGCUCCUCCGAUAACAACAACUCUACUAACUCUUUCUUGCUCUUGAACAUUUACGCGAGGGUCACAUUUGAUGGUUCCAAUUUCAAUGAUUGGAUUCCUAACAUCCGAAUGGCCUUGCGUUAUGAAGACAAGGAAUGCAUCCUCGAAAAACAGUUGAACAAGAUAGACGAAACCAAAGCCACUCAUGUAGAAAUGGAUGAGUAUAGGGCCCAAUGCAAGGAUACUACAAAGGUGUCUUGCAUUAUGGUGUCCACUAUGACUCCUGAGUUAUAGCGGUUCUAUGCAGACUAUUGUCCUUACGAGAUGUGACAAGACUUGAUGGAGAAGUACCACCAAAGUGCGUGUCAAGAAAGGUAUGAGAUAGUCAGGUCACUCCUUACCACAAAGAUGAAGGACGGAGAGUUCGUCACGACCCACCUGCAACGCAUGUAGAGAUAUGUGGAUCGUUUUCUCAAGCUAAAUGUGAACUUUGAUUAGGAGUUGGCAAUUGACAUAGUCUUGCACUCAUUGCCUCAUCUCUUUGACCAGCUCAAGAUGACUUAUCAUUUGUGUUGGAUUACAUGUCUAAGACCAUAACUAUAAUCGCUAUGUACUUGACCCAAUAGUGGCAUGGUCCUUUUGGGUUGCACUCAUCAGAGCAAUUUGAUAGAAUGUAUACUUGAGAAAGAGGUUAUUUGUGAUUUAUUAAUAUAUUAUAUGAAUAAUAUAUUAAUUGAGCAAUCAUAUUAUUUAAUUAGUAUUGAUCAAGAAUUAAUUUGGAAUUCAAAAGAGACUGAUUAAAUUUACAGGGACUGAUUAGGUAAAUCAGUAAUAUUUAUAGUUUGGGCUAAUGAUCCAUGUUGAUUAAGAAUGGGCUAAAUCUAUGUGAGAGUCCAUGAAGAGUUAGUCCAAAGGGCCUAUCAUAUAGAUCAUUGGAAUACUUAAAGGUUUAAGUAAAUUAGUGUUUUAUGUAUGAAACCCUACGAAUUCCACACUUUUAUAAAUACUAACCCUUGCACUCCAAAAUCAUGACUUGCAUUCCAUGGUGAAACCCUAGCCGAUUUUGGUGCUUCAUAACCUCUUUUUAAUUAGCCUCCUCUUGCUUUUGCUGUUUUGUGACACCUUAUAGGUAUCAAACUUGAGGUACUAUGUAACACCCGGUUCCCGGUACGUAUUUUUAAAUUUAAGCAAUUGCAUGUUUUACACUGGGACUCGAUGAAUUGGAGGCCCAACUCGUCGAGUAGAUUGGAUUCUGGACGCGCGUUUUAAGUAACCUACUCAACGAGUCGGGAGCCCGACUCGUUGAGUUGGAAUGCCUAGAGGAAACCCUAAUAUUUAGGGUUUGCACCCUAUUUACAUGCCUUAACUUGUCCCAUUUUAGCCUCCAUCGUCUCUCAUAGUCCAGGAAAGCCCUAACUUGAAACCCUAAAGCAUUUGUAGUGUCCUUGAGCCAUUUUUGUGUGCUUUUGGUUGUUUGAAGCUUGAAGAAAUAAGUGGAAGCUUGGAUGUUCCAGAAGAAGCAAGUAGAUCCAAAGGUUUUGCUUCAUUUCCAGCUCAUUCAAGGUAAAAAGCUUCAUCGUUGACUACCAAUUUGUUAGAUCCUCUUUACGACUUGAAUCUUGUCAUUUUUUGGGCAUUUCUAGGUCACCUUCGGGUUUAGAUUGUAAUAUAGAGUGAUGAAUUCAGAUCUUGAACCUAGGAGGGUUCUCAUGGCAUAAAGGUGCCAACUUUAUUUCCAUAAGUGCCCCAUGCAUCUUAUAGACUCCAUUUUUGGAUCUUUUGGGCUUGAAGACCCAUGUAUGGACGUAAAGUUCAUGACUUUACGUGUGAAAUCGACCCUAGGAGUUCAGAUCUAUACUUCGGAUGAAAUAAGCUCAACUGAAACCAAAUAUAAGGACAUGGACCUUGGGGGACUCGCUGAGUUGUUCAUAGGACUCGGCGAGUCCAAUAUUGGUUCCCCAACCUCUUCUGUUCUGAGGAAUCUAGUUGAGUCUAGGAGGGGACUCAACAAGAUGAAAGUGAUUAUGGACUUGAAUACUAAAUGAAUCGACGAGUUCAAGGAUGAACUCGGAAAGUUCAAGGCAAUGUGCCAACCAACAUGAAGAUGAACUCGACAAGUUUAAUUUGAAAGUCCCAAUUCUGCCAUAAGGAGAAACCCAGCGAGCUGGUGGUCAACUCGGCGAGUUAGAGCGCGAAGUUGAGAAUCUCUGAGUUAUGGAACUCGACGAGUUGGUGGACCAACUCAGCGAGUCAAGUCAACUAGAUGUUUACUUUAACAAAAAGUUUGUUGGAUUAGGUGUCUAAGCCCAUAACUAUUAUUGGUAUGUAUUCGACCCGAGAGUAGCAUGGUCCAUUUGGGUUGCAUAUCAUCAAGACAAUUUGUUAGGAUGGACUUUUGAGAGAAGGUUAUUUAUGGUUUAUUAAUAUAUUAUAAGUAAUAAUAUAUUAAUAUGAAAUCAUAUGUUUUAAUUAGUAUUGAUCAAGAAUUAAUUUGGAAUUAAUUUAGUGGUCGAAAGAGACUAAUUAAAUCUAUGAGGACUAAUUAUGAAAAUUAGUUAUAUUUAUAUGUGUUAGGCUUAUGAUCCAUGUUGGACCAAGUUGAUGUAUGGAUACAUAAAGAGUUUGGCCACAUGAACCAUGGAUCAUAAAACCCAUGGGUAUGGUUGUGUGAGUCAAGUGAAGGACUAAGGGAUUGAGUACACAUUCUUGUGCACUAGUCAAGUCCACCACAAAAGAUCGAUAAGAUUAUUCGUCAUAAUUUACUAAAGCUCAGUAAAUAUGGUUAUACUUACAAGCUUAAGUGUAAUUCUGAGACAUUGGAAAAGGUUCCAAUGUAUGAUAGAGCGAAUAAGAAGAAUCAAAUUUGGCAGAAGGAUAAAAGUUUCUCAAAUCUGGAAAGAUGGGAGAGUACUUUAGUAUCAGUUUUUGUGAUCAUCUUAAUGAUUAAGAAACCAUAUCACAAUUAGUUCUCUAAGGAAGAGGAAUCUUGAAUUGUUGAAAUGGUUAAAUCAAGAAGAUGAGUCAUACUCCAUGAUUGUAACUUGAGUGACAUGUCUUAAAGAAGGUUUAAAACACUUAUCAAAUGUAAGAGUAAAAGUUUUCUACUCUUGUACAUUUGAAAUUGGUAAGUUGUGAUAUUUUGGAUAAAACAAAGACCAACUAAGGCCAAUUGUGUGAAGUGUUUGUCUUGAUUAGAAUCCACACUAUCUCUUGAAUAUUUGACAACAAAGUGUUAUAUGUCAAGAGGACAGUGGGAGUCUUAAAGGUCUUGAAAGUCUCAAGAACUAAUCAAGAAUAAAACCUGAGGUUCUUCACUAGCACAUGACUUGAGGUUUAUAACCUAUCGUGUUGACAUAUUUUGUGCCCGUUCCAAUUAAAUUUGGCUUUGCAUAUGAGUUCAUAGAGUUCUCAACUGGUUGCACAACAACAUGGAAGCAAUGGCAGGCCCUUGAGCUGCCAGGUGGCAAGAAAUUAAGAUUGAGUUCAGGCCAUAUGAGUUUCGAUUUGUCAUUAUCCUUGUCUUGUGACUAUGGUUUUGACAAUUCACAAGGAUAAGAACACAUAAACCAUUAAAUCUAAGGGUCAUAAGGUUUCUCUCCGAUUCAUGAAAAUGAUGGUGAGGAAACACUUCCACCAAGUAGAUUUGAAGUAGAUAGCAAUUGUGUUAUUUGCAUUCUCAAAGUCGUUAGCAGAGCUGUGUAGUUAACCGGCAUACUAACAUGGACUUGUGAGAAGUGGAAAAGGUCUAAACAAUUGAGACUAUUAUUACGACAUCGCUUUUCAUAGUUCUGAAAUUGUUUAGACACACCUGUGAACUAUCUAAGUUAAGGUGUAUGAUAUUGAUCAGAAAUCUGAACUUUAGUAAGAAAGUCAAUAAAGUAUUGUUUUUUCUAGAAGUUCAACUGAUUUCUGAGUACAUGUCAAAGCUAGUGGGAGCAUAAGUGUUAUGCUAAUAAUCAUCAUUUUCGUGGGAUCAUGAUAAUUAUGAUAAAGGUUGCAAGUUAGCAAUAUUAAUUAUAGAAAACAAAAGGUUUCAAUUGGGAAAAAGCUGUUUUGCUAUAAUUAAGGGAGAUGAAAUUAUACUUCAUCUCNNNNNNNNNNNNNNNNNNNNNNNNNNNNNNNNNNNNNNNNNNNNNNNNNNNNNNNNNNNNNNNNNNNNNNNNNNNNNNNNNNNNNNNNNNNNNNNNNNNNNNNNNNNNNNNNNNNNNNNNNNNNNNNNNNNNNNNNNNNNNNNNNNNNNNNNNNNNNNNNNNNNNNNNNNNNNNNNNNNNNNNNNNNNNNNNNNNNNNNNNNNNNNNNNNNNNNNNNNNNNNNNNNNNNNNNNNNNNNNNNNNNNNNNNNNNNNNNNNNNNNNNNNNNNNNNNNNNNNNNNNNNNNNNNNNNNNNNNNNNNNNNNNNNNNNNNNNNNNNNNNNNNNNNNNNNNNNNNNNNNNNNNNNNNNNNNNNNNNNNNNNNNNNNNNNNNNNNNNNNNNNNNNNNNNNNNNNNNNNNNNNNNNNNNNNNNNNNNNNNNNNNNNNNNNNNNNNNNNNNNNNNNNNNNNNNNNNNNNNNNNNNNNNNNNNNNNNNNNNNNNNNNNNNNNNNNNNNNNNNNNNNNNNNNNNNNNNNNNNNNNNNNNNNNNNNNNNNNNNNNNNNNNNNNNNNNNNNNNNNNNNNNNNNNNNNNNNNNNNNNNNNNNNNNNNNNNNNNNNNNNNNNNNNNNNNNNNNNNNNNNNNNNNNNNNNNNNNNNNNNNNNNNNNNNNNNNNNNNNNNNNNNNNNNNNNNNNNNNNNNNNNNNNNNNNNNNNNNNNNNNNNNNNNNNNNNNNNNNNNNNNNNNNNNNNNNNNNNNNNNNNNNNNNNNNNNNNNNNNNNNNNNNNNNNNNNNNNNNNNNNNNNNNNNNNNNNNNNNNNNNNNNNNNNNNNNNNNNNNNNNNNNNNNNNNNNNNNNNNNNNNNNNNNNNNNNNNNNNNNNNNNNNNNNNNNNNNNNNNNNNNNNNNNNNNNNNNNNNNNNNNNNNNNNNNNNNNNNNNNNNNNNNNNNNNNNNNNNNNNNNNNNNNNNNNNNNNNNNNNNNNNNNNNNNNNNNNNNNNNNNNNNNNNNNNNNNNNNNNNNNNNNNNNNNNNNNNNNNNNNNNNNNNNNNNNNNNNNNNNNNNNNNNNNNNNNNNNNNNNNNNNNNNNNNNNNNUUGAUACCAUAUUGGAUUCAAUUAUUAUUGUGUUUCACUUUGCAUGUUUUGACUUCCCGAAUAAACUAGGUUAUUCUUCCGGAAUGACUAAGUUAUUCAAACCAUCCACAGUCGGUCAUAUGUUGGAAGUAGAUAUGAAUUAAGACUGUCAUGGGUUGGCUUGUAGAGGUCUAAGGUGUUGGACAAAGGGCUACAACACUCAUGAGUGCUCAUAAGUUCUGAGUAUUGGAUUCAACCCGCGCUCAUUGGAAUCACUUCAUGGAUUUUAUCACGAGUGAUCAUGAGACGAUAAUAUCUUAUAUUCUUCAAACCUAGAGAUAUGAGUUGUUACUAUGAGUUGGUUAUACAUUGAUUGCACGAAAACGCAUUGGUAACUCGAUGUUAUAAAACGUGCCUUUGUGUAUGAUUCAACAAGUAGUAGAACA